CCUACUAACACCCCGUAAAUAUUUAGUAAAAUAUUUACGGGCUCGGUUUAUAAAAACGAGAUUUCAAUACUCAUUUUCUAGAACCACUUCACUUUAAGAAUUUACCACUUGAACCUAAUUAUUCGUUUAAAUAACAUAAAUUAUCAAAUCAAAAUUUAUUAUGUAUAGGCCCAAAUUUGCCCGGGCUUACACCAAAACCAAAAUAAAACAAAAAAUAAUAAUAAAACCAAAAUAAUUUAAAAGUCCAGUCCGUUUACAUUUAUUAACCCAACAAUAAACCCAACCUAAUAAACUUAAACCCAAAAUACCCCAGGCCCAAAACAUCAACCAAACUUUCGGCCAACCCUAGCCAACAGCCAGCGCCGCAAACGCCAUCAGCCUCCCCAACACACGUGCGCCUCCGUUCUUCUGUCCACGGCCACGAACGGUUUUUGCCAUGCCAUACACACCUGCAAAACAGAAUAACAAAUAGCAAUUGACAGCAAAGGAAUAACAGAUUACAGCAAGGAUUUUUUAUUUUCUUUUUCCUUUUAUUUCUAUUUAUUUUUCGGCUAUAAAACUGAAUGAAAUGAUGUAAAAAAAGAAAAGACUGAAAUACAAAAAAAAAACCACUGAAAUUGAAAGGUGAUUUUUUAUUCGAAGGUUCUUUAGUUUUUUUUUCAACUCUGUUCAUUUUGUUUUUCAUUAGAGUUUAAAAGAUUUUGAAAAUAAAAAAGGAAAACGAGCGAUUUACCUUGCGAUUCCAUUUGUUUCGCUGAAAUCAAUGUUGAGAGCAGAUCUUAUGGCCGAGAAUGUCGUCCCUCAAGGCUUGAAUCUGCUGGACGUCGUUUAUGGUGGCGGAUCGGCGUUUCAAAGUGAGGUGUUAGGAUCGGUUGAGGGAAAAUCAAGAGAGGCUAGGAUGGUGACAAUAGAUGCUGAACAUUGUUUUUUUGCUAUGUUUUAGCUUUUAUAAGAGGAAGAAAACGGCACCAUUCAGAGUCAAUUGCAAUGGCUUCAAAACGGUGCCGUAUAAGGUGACCCAUUCCAACCCGAUCCACUACCGUGAGGAUCCGCGCGUUUAAUCUUUUGGGGUGAAUUGCGCAUUUGGUCCCUCCUCGUUUUGCUAUCAUCUGAUUGAGUCCCAUUUAUGUUUCUUUGUUUUUUUAAUUCUCUCCUAAAACUUAUGCGCUGUUUUGAUUUGAUCCAUGUUUACAUGGUGCGUUCAAAAACUUGGAAUAAUUUCAUUUUUAAGCCUUGUACGUUCACGUGCGUUGCACUUUGGUCCUUAUUUCUAUCUUAAUGGUUUAUUUUAUUUAUUAAUUAUACCUUUUAAUUUGAUUUUAUUUCAAUUAAGUAUUUAUUUCAACUUAUAUAAUUCAUCAUUUUUUUAUUCAUUGAGCAUUUAUCUUUUAAAUUUUAUUUAUAUGCCUUUGGAGUUACUUCGAUAAGUUUACUUUGUUUUUUAAUUAUAAAAUUAUUAUUUUAAAAUUCUCUUUUAUAUCAUAUCAUUUUAAAUUUUGGUAUAAUAUUUAAUUUAAAUUACCUUUAUAUUAAUAUAUAUAUGUAUAUAUAUUAAAAUUAGCUUUAUUUUAUCAACAUUAUUAAUUCUAUGUUAUUUUAUAUAUAUAACUUCUUUUAAAUAUGUUUAUUUGUAUUUCCUUUUAAAUUUAUUAUGUAUAUAAUUUGUUCUUUAAAAAACAUAUUUUAUUAUUUAUUCGUUAUUUAAGAUUCUUUCAUGUAUAUAUAAUUUUAUUAUAUAUCAGUUUGUUCUUCUUUCAUGUAUAUUGUUUAUUCUUUGUUAUUGUAUUAUAUCUUCAUUAUAUAUUGUUUUAUUGUUUUUUUUAUUGUUGUAUGCAUAUUAACACCUUUAAAUAUUUAGGUUUUGUUUUCUAAAAUAUUCUUGUAUGUUAUUAGCUCCAAAUUUCUUCUUUCCCAAUGUUUAUUUUAAUAUUCAUUUACAUAUUCUUAGUUUUAUUUUUAUAUAUGUACAUCAUUUCAAACCCAAUCAUGUGCUGUUCAUUUGUAAAUUUUCAUAUAUUUAAUAGUUUUUAAAUUGUUUCCAAAUUGUUUUGUAUGCUAUGUGUUGCUUUAGUUUUCAUAUUAUUUCAUGUAUUAUUGUUUCAUAUUGAUUAUUAGCCUUUUGCACUAUUAUUUAAAUUUUUGUCCAUCUAUGUUCGAAACUUGUUAUAUUUCCUUCUAAUUUGUUUCUUGGAUGUGAGCUCAUUGCUAUUGUGUGUAUGUUAAUUUGUUCUUUUUGUUUACUUGUAUAAUAUUUCAUAUAGUAAUCCAUGUUUGCAACUUUGAUUUUCUAUAUUAUUGCAUCGUGAUUCAAAUUUCAAUGUUUUGAUUGAUAUUAGCUGUCUCGUUUUUAUUUCAAGAAAAAUAAAUGUGUUUUGAGCGAAUUUUCAAUUUUCCUUAUUAUUCAAAAAUUCUGAAAUAAGGCAAUAUCCAAUAUUUGGGAAUUUGGGAAAUCAUGCCCUACCGUGCUGGGUAUGAUUUUUCGGUGAACUAAAUAUUUGGAUAUCCUUUUAUAAUUUUAGUGUACGAGUUUUUGAAAGUCAAAAAUCAAUCGUAUUUUUGAAGGUAUAAAGGAUCGUAUCCAAUCGUGCUGGGUAUGAUGUUGCAUAUCUUUGAAACGAGAGAAUUUUGACAAUUAACUUGAACUAUUCACACAUUUUAAAGACUUGUGCUUUGAAAGAUUUUUUUAAAAUCUUUGAUAUAAGGAUAGCAUCGAAUCAAUUUGGUACCAAUUUUUUGGGCGUAAUGAGGGUGCUAACCCUUCCUCAUAUGUAACCGGCUCCUGAACCCAUUUUUAAAUUUACGUGGACCAAAAUUGUUUUAAAAUAUGUUAUUAGGUGAUCCAAUCACACCUAAACAAAAGAUUAGUAGCGACUCCACACUUGGUUUUAAAAGUCAAUCCCCGAUUUUUUUCUAACCCGAAAAAAUGGUUUCGACAUAUUAUAAUACUAUAUUUGACUCGUAAAUAUUGAAUAAUAAUAUUUACAAAUUCACUCGUCAGAUUCGUAGCCUCAAAACAACUGUUUCUGACACCACUGAAAAACGGGCUAUUACAUCCAAACUCAACGGUGGCAACUAAACCAACUAGGUCAUCAAUGAAAUUAAAAAAAUAUGAAAAUUCCCUCAUAUAAUUAAAAUAAGUUAUACUAUUUAAAGGUAAUUUAGUAUUUUCAUUUUAACAAAAACCAAUUAAAAUAUGCAUAUGAAGUUUGAACUCAUGCCAAUUAGAUUAGAAAGCCUUAAAUUUAUUACUCAACUAAAGCUUCAAUUUGAUGUAUUUUAUACUUUUUUUUUAAUAUGCACAAGUUAUUAUCUGCAUCAGUUGUAUAUAUAUCUGUACUUACUAUUUGUUAAGUGUUUUACUAAGUUGAUCUCACGCUCAAUAGGUUCACCAAUUCACUAGAAAAUUACAAAAAUACUCUUUCAUAAUUAAAAUAAGUUAUACUAUUUAAGGAUAUUUUAGUAUUUUCAUUUUAACAAAAACCAAUUUAAAAAAAUAUGGUGGGAUUUAACCUGCGCUAAUUGGAUUAGUAAAACCUUAAAUUUACAACUUAACCAAAGCUUUAUUUUAAUAUUUUUGUGAUUUAUUUGAUGUAUUUAUAUGUUUAAAUUUCGUUUUUACUCACAAUUUAAUCUAUUUUUAUUUUAAUAUCAUACAUAUUUUAUGUGUUAUUAUAAUUAAUUAAUUUCAAGCCAUAUGUUUCAUUAUUUAUUAUGUGUUAUUUUUAAACACAUAUUUGUAUUCUAAAUUCGUAGUUUUUACACGUAUAUACAUUUGAUAAGAUUUCUUAUUUUAUCAUUAGAGUCAAUCUAAUUGUUAAAAGAAAAUAAGUACCUAAUCACCUAGUUAUUGCUUUAAGUAGAAAAAAAUUUAGUUAUUUCUUUGAAUUUGUUUUUGAAUUACAAAAAUACUAAAACAGGAAAUUUGGUGCCAUUUUAAUUUUCAUUUUGGUAAUUUAAAUGAAAAAGUUUAACCCAGGUUUAGGAUUAAAUAGCUUCCAUAAUUUUGUCUAAAACGAAAAGGCAGAAAUUCAAAAAAUAAAAAGACCAAUAUUGUACGGUUCUGUUUCUUUUUAGUUUUCAUAUUUUCUACUUUUAAAUAUUUAUUUUUCAUUAUUGGAAAUAAUGGUGCAACAAUUUUAUUUUAUUUGGAAUAAUAUGAAAAUAAAGUAUAUUAAAAAAUUUAGUUACUUUCGAAUCAAUGACUUGAUUGUUUUUUAAUCUUCCAUUAAGCAGGUUUUAAUGAAUAGAAGUUCUUUACCUUGUGAUUAGGUAAUCAUUAUACUCUUUGUAAUUUGCUCUAAAGUGUUAUUCUUAUUGCAAAGGAAACAUUUGUACAUACAUAAAUUGUUGGGCUUCUUAGUAUUCUUUCCAUCCGCUUUAAGCGAAACUGAAGUCUUAGCCUUUUUUUUUUUUUUAUCUUUAGACGAGGAAGCGAUCGAUCGCCAAAUUGGCUUUUGCAUUUGAUUGAACUAGGCGCCCCACCAUUUAAUAUCAACUCAUAAAAUUAUAACUCUUUCAUGAGUUGUGUAAAGUUAAGCUCUCAGGUUCCUAAGUUAUAUGCAACUUUAAAGCCUGCAAAGUCUUUUAGACAAGGUUUUAACUCCAUCUCGAUACGGGUGUUAUGGUCCAGUUUAGUCCCUUUGUCCUUCACUUCCAUAAAGAAUCCUAGAAGAUUAAGUAUAUGUUCUUUGACUGGAGUAUCAAGCUUUUGCUUAAAGUUUAUUAAAUUGGUUAUCAAAGAUUCUCGAGCCAAGAUAACUUCACCUUCGAACAUAUCCUCCAGAUUGCCCAUGAUCUCUUUAACAAUUCUAUUGCUUUCUUGUUGAUUUUGCAAAGUGCUACUGGCACUUGCAAUAAUAUAACAACAAGCUAUUUCAUUAGAGCUUUUCCAACAAGGUCUAGCUUCAUGUUGGGGCUUAGGGGGCAUGCUUUAUCAAACAUAAACUUGUGGUUCAUGUACCUGAGAAUAAUGUGCAAGUUUUGUUUCCAUUCCUUAUAAUUGUUCCUGUUUAGUUAAUUUGUUUUCAGUAAGAAUAUUGACGAGAGAAGUUAGUGUUAUUUCAUAUUAAAUAUAAAUUGUCACAUUAAUUAUCUUUAAGCAAGAAUGUCAUCAAAUUUAGUAACAUACAAGAUGCAUUAACAUGAUGCAUGCUUCUUACAUUUAGCCUUGAAAAGAAACUGUAAACUGUUAUCAUGAUAAUUCUCAAACCCAUUGAAUUAUGCCAGCUUGGGGAAAUCACAACUAGUAAAAACAUGGAUUUUAUCCAAUUAAAUAUGUGAAUCUAAAUUGCAAAACUCCACACAACUUAAUAAUAGUUUCACUUUAAUAAUUAUUUAAACUUAAAUAGAGUUUAGUGGGAAGUUAUUUAAUUAAAAUAAUCUUAAAUAUAUAAUCAUUAACUCAACCCCCAUUAUUAUAUAUUCUUAAUAUGAGUCAUAAUGAGAUAAUCUUAACAAGAAUCAUACAUGACUAGUUAUCCUCUUAACGGAGGUUGUGGUCUUGUUUAGGGACUCUUUCCCAGUCAAUAUUUUAAAACAUAUGCAAAAUUUUCAAUUUGGUUUUAGGAAUGAUUAAAUGCAUAGAUAAUAUCAAGUGACAUUCUUUCUAAUCUAAAUGACAUGCUUAUUAUAUAAACAUGGCAUGUUUAUCGAUUUCAUUAAUCAUUCAAUCAUACAAAUAUCAACAACAUCUAUCUAACAAUUGAAAAUAAAAUUGACUCUGACCAACCAAAGGUUUUCAUGGUUUUAUUCUAAGAAUAAGAAAAAGAAAACAAGUAGAUUACAAAGUUUACUCAAAAGAAUUCUUUGGGUCAUCAACUUCUCUGAAUAGUUGAUCAUUCCAUCAUUCAGCCACACAAACUCAUCUAAUCUUUUAUCAAAACUUGUUUCCAUCAUAAACCAAAAGUUUACAAAAAAAACAAAUGGGAAAAGAACUCCCUAGGAGUCGACUUUUGGAUUCCUAAAAACCUUAGAAGUGAUUUUGAAAACUUUAACAUAUGGUUUCUACAAAAUCUAUUAUUCUUGAAUUCAAUCCCAGAACAAGCCCACCUUAGAGUCUUCCAGAAAAGUCAAGGCACACCUAAUUCAUAGAAUCAGAAAUAGUUUCAAAUAUGGCUCAAAGAAUGAAAAACUAAUUUUUUACUUUCAAGAGUGGAAAGAUGUUGAAUUUUCAUAUCCCAUUAAUCUUGAUCUUAUUUUUUUAAAUUGAACUUUUCCAUGAUGUCUAAAUCGAAAAAUUUCGAUUGUAUAAAAAUCAAAAUUUUCACUUUAAUUAAAAAUGAAAAACUAGAUCAAAUACAUACCUGACUGUUGUGGGUGAGAAAAAAAAAAGAAAUUAAUAAAACGGGGCAUAGCAGGUUAGUUAAACGGGGAGUUUUGACAACAGAAAAUGGCCACAUCAGCUUAUUGUUAUUAUUUUCUUUUAAAGCAUGAACAAUGGAUGUAAACGAUUAUGCAUAUUUUACUGAAUAUCAGAAAUCUUCUUUUUCUGAGCUUUUCUUUUCCUCUUCAAAUUUUCUCUACUUUUUUUCCUAUUCCUAUUCUCCACUCAAAAUUCCAGAACGUAUCAAAAGUAUCAGAGCUAUUAUGAUCCCUAUCAUGGCUGGCGAUGGCGUUUCCACAAGGUUACAGAAAGAAGUGAGUGGACUGCAGUAAGAUAUGUCCAAAAUACAGGAGCAGUUAGCUCCGAUAGAGGCCAAGAUCGAUACGAAAUUUUUGGACCCCCACACAAGGGCCAAACUGUAGCUGCGGACAAGGGGAAAGGGGUAUUGGGUGCACCCCCUGGGUUUCCUCCCAAGGAUGUGGGGAUUGGUCAGAAUCUUGGGGAUGGGAUUAGCGUUCAUCUGGGUCAUCAGUCGUGCGAGGUUGGAACGGUGGAAAAGGGUAGUCGGCUUGAGUGUCCCAAAUUUGAUGGCACCGAUUUUCGAGGGUGGUGGACCAAACUUGAGCAAUUCUUUGAAGCUGAAGGUACGCCAGAGUCCAAUAAGGUUCGUUUGGUAAUGUUGAGUUUGGAGGGACGAGCUCUUGAGUGGCACCAUUUUUACUCCCAACGUAAUGGUGAUCUUCAAAUGAUAUUUUGGCCGGGUUAUUUGAAGAGCUUGCAGGAGCGUUUUGGUUUUGGACAAUUCGAGAAUCCGAUGAAAGUAUUGGUAAAUCUGAAACAAAUAGGUACGGUGGAACAAUAUCAAGAUUCUUUUGUUGGUUUGUUAAAUCAAUUGCAUCUUCCGGAAUCAUAUGCUCUUAGUAUUUUUAUUAGUAAUUUCAAGACUGAAAUUGGCCACUAUUUGGAUCUAUUUGAGCCUUUUACAUUGAUGGAAGCUUUCCAUCUCGCUAGGAAGAUUGAAGUGCUCCUAGCUGGUUCAGCUAAGAAAAUCUCAACACCCUUGCAUAGUUCACCUAGAUCGUCGUUCAACCCCUCUGUUAUAUCGGGUUAUUCUUCACCACCCAUAAGAGCUAAUUCAAUUUCACAAGCGGGGAGUAGUGUUCCGGGCAACAAGUCAACUUCUCGGUCGAUUUCACCAGCACUAAUGGCUGAACGGAAACAGAAAGGAUUAUGUUUUUGGUGUGGCACCAAGUAUCAGGCGGGGCACAAAUGUGUAAAAUCACAGUUAUAUCAAUUGCUGCUAGAACCUUUUUCUGACGGUGAAGCUGAAGAAUUUCAAGAAUGUUCAGAUCGUUUAGAAGAGAGUAGUCCAGAGGAGGAAUCACCCAAAUCAACUAUAAUUUCGCUACACGCUCUCACUGGCAUGCAAGGCCAUAACACUAUGCGGGUGACGGCUAGAGUCGGUUCGAGUUGGGCUAUUAUUCUAGUGGAUUCUGGUAGUACUCACAAUUUCAUUGAUGUACGAUUGGUUAGUAGGUUGUCAUUGCCGGUAAUCCAGCAAUAGCAGCUGAAGGUUUCGGUGGCAGACGGGAGCUGUUUAUUUACUAGAGGUUUAUGUAUGAAAGUACCAUGGGAAGCCCAGAAUUACAGAUUUGUAAUUGAUUUUUUGGUGCUGCUUUAAAAGGGUGUGAUAUGGUGUUAGGGGUCUAGUGGUUACUUACUUUGGGGGAUAUCAUUUGGAAUUUUAAUUCUUUAACAUGUAGUUUACCAUCAAGGGUGAAACAUGUACCAUGAAUGGUAUUGUUCUUGGUUCAAUAGCAGCAGAGAGCUCCUCCUCGGAUUCAAAGUGUUUCUUAACAAUCGGGCAGACUUUGGGGCCUUAUAUGUUGAUGUUGACUUCCCCUAGCCAAAUGACAUUAUCCUCUAUGGUGGCAAAUGAAUCGGAGGAGAAACUUCAGGUGCUCUUGGAGGACUUUGCUGAUGUUUUUCAAGUACCAAAAGGGUUACUCCCUCCUCGCUAGCAAGAUCAUCGAAUCCCAUUAAAGGAUAAAGGGGUGGUGAUUAAGAUCCUUCCCUAUAGAUAUCCAGCCAUUCAGAAAGGAGAAAUGGAGAAAUUGAUUUAUGAAAUGCUCUAAACUAGAAUCAUUAGAGAUAGCAAUAGUUCUUUUGCUUCUCCUAUUAUGAUGGUCAAGAAAAAAGAUGGAAGCUGGAGACUCCAUGUUGAUUAUAGACAACUAAACCAGCAUACUAUUAAGGAUAAGUUUCUCAUUCCCAUAAUUGAAGAGCUGCUUGAUGAAUUGGGAGAGGCUCGGGUGUUCUCCAAACUCGAUUUGAGGUCUGGAUAUCAUCAAAUUCGGAUGUGGUAGGGCGACAUACACAAGACAACGUUUAGAACACACGAGAGGCAUUAUGAGUUUCUCGUGAUGCCUUUUGGCCUUACUAAUGCCCCCUCUAGUUUUCAAGCUCUUAUGAAUACGGUAUUUAAGCCAUGGUUGCGAAAGUUUGUGCUCGUAUUCUUUGACGACAUUCUUGUGUAUUCAAGGUCAUGGUCCUAACAUUUGCAGCAUUUGAAGACUGUUUUUUUGGUUCUAAGAGAGCAACAGUUGUUUGCUAAAAAGAGUAAGUGUUGUUUUGGCACACCUUAGAUCGAGUAUUUGGGACAUGUGUUACAGGCAAGUACGGUUUCGAUGGAUAUGUCAAAGAUCGACUGUAUCACUUCAUGGCCACUUCCUCAGUCAGUGAAGGAAUUGCGAAGCUUCCUUGGACUCUCUAGAUACUAUAGGCGAUUCAUUAAAGAUUAUGGGGUGCUAGCUAGACCUCUUACGGAUCUGUUGAAGAAAAAUGUGUGGGCUUGGUCUGACUGAGCGACCACAGCUUUUCAAGCAUUGAAAGUGGCCUUAUGUGCUGCCCCUAUUCUGCCUCUACCGAAUUUUGAGCUUGAGUUUGUAGUGGAUACUGACACUAGUGGAGCUGGGGUGGGAGCCGUUUUGCAACAGCAGGGAAGACUGGUGGCGUAUUUUAGCAAGGCUCUAGGAGUACGACAUCAGGCUUUGUCCAUAUAUGAAAAAGAGAUGUUUGCAGUGUUAUUGGCAGUUCGAAAAUGGCAUUUUUAUUUGGUAGGGAGGCAUUUCAAAAUUCAGACGAACCAUCAAAGCCUGCGAUUUCUAUCUGAUCAGAUGGGUCGCUAAGAUGCUAGGUUAUGAUUUUGAAGUUUUGUAUAGAAAAGGAGUCAACAAUAAGGUUGCCGAUGCUCUUUCUCGACAACCUAAGUUGGAAGAAGGUUAGAUUUUUCACUUGUCGACUAGUUCUGUUAUAUCUUAACUCUUGCAACAGGUGUAGCAAUCCUAUGAGUUAGAUGAUAAGCUAAAGAAGAUCAUACAAGACGCUCAACAAUCCAAGCUCCCCAAUCACAAAUAUUCUUGGGACGGUCGCUUCCUACAUCGGAAGGGGAAGAUUGUGGUAGGGCGACAUCUGCAGUUGCGAAAGGAAUUAUUUUCCCAUUUCCAUGCCAGUGCUGUUGGUGGACAUUCGGGGGUACAUGCGACUAAGAAAAAGGUAGCUACUUUGCUAUAUUGGAAGGGUUUAACCACUGAUGUAAAAUGUUGGAUACGUGAGUGUUCAGUCUGCCAAAGAUGCAAGGGUGAAUCGGUAGCCUUUCUAGGACUCCUUCAGCCUUUGCCUAUUCCGGAUCGAGCUUGGGCAGUGGUAAGCUUAGACUUCAUCGAUGGCUUACCAAACUCUAACCGAAGAAACUUUAUCCUAGUUGUGGUAGACCAUUUGACCAAGUAUGGUCACUUUUUAGGCUUAUCUCAUCCAUACAUAGCUAAAGAGGUGGUACAAGAAUAUAUGAAUCAUGUCUACAAACUCCAUGGGAUGCCUGAUUCUAUUAUAUCAGACAGGGAUAAAAUAUUUAUUAGCUAAUUUUAGCAAGAGCUAUUUCAUAGAACUGGAACCAAACUUCUACUAUCUACCGCAUACCACCCUCAAACAGAUGGGCAAACGAAGGUCUUGAAUCGGUGUCUUCAAAAUUACUUGAGGUGUAUGACUGGGGAGACUCUUGGCAAUUGGUUCCAUUGGUUACCACUAGCAGAAUGGUGGUACAAUUCUUCCUUUCAUUCAUCUAUUCAGCUGACUCCAUAUAAAGCCUUGUAUGGACAGGCUCCUCCACCGCAUAUGCCAUACUUAGCUGGAGCUUUUUCGGUGGCUAUGGUCGACAGAAGUUUGCAAGCUAGAGAGGCUGCAUGGAAAUUAUUGCAUUUCCACCUUAAACAGGCUCAAACUCGCAUAAAGCAGUUUGCGAACAAACAUAGAACUGAGAGAAGUUUUUAGGUGGGUGAUUUGGUAUACUUGAAGCUACAACCGUAUCGGCAGCAAUCCCUCAGGAAAGUUAUCAUUCAAAAACUAUCUCCCAAAUAUUAUGGCCCUUUUCCAGUGACCAGGAAGGUGGGGAAAGUAGCUUACACUUUGCAGUUACCUCCGGGUUCUCGGAUUCAUCCAACUUUUCAUGUGUCUCAACUAAAGAAACAUAUUGGGUCAAAUCCAUCUCAAGUUCAUUUACCUUUGGUGGAUGCUCAUGGUGCAUUGCAGAAGGAGCCGGUUAGAAUUGUGGAUAGGAGGGUAGUUAAAAGGGGAAACCAAGCUGUUACCGAAGUUCUUGUUGAAUGGGUUGAUUCUUUUCCUGAGGAUGCAACAUGGGAAGUUCUGUCGUUGCUGCAGACCAAAUACCCUCAUUUCCAUCCUUGAGGACAAGGAUUUCUUUUGGGAAGCUAGUACUGUUGUGGGUGAGAAAAAAAAGAAAUUAAUAAAACGGGGCGUAGCAGGUUAGUUAAACGGGGAGUUUUGACUAUAGAAAAUGGCCACGUCAGCUUAUUAUUAUUAUUUUCUUUUAAAGCAUGAACGACUUAUUAUUAUUAUUAUUUUCUUUUAAAGCAUGAACGAUGGAUGUAAACGGUUAUGCAUAUUUUACUAAAUAUCAGAAAUCUUCUUUCUCUGAGCUUCUCUUCUCCUAUUCAAAUUUUCUCUACUUUCUUUCCUAUUCCUAUUCUCCACUCAAAAUUCCAGAAUGUAUCACUGACUAAAACUCAAUGUUCCUUAGAGAGGGUGUCAACUUUCAAUAUUCUCUAAUUACAAUAAAUUAAAAACCUACAUGGAGAAAAUAAUCCACAAACUAAUUACAUAUAUAUGAAAAUAACAUAAAUACAACCAUUCUAAUUCUAGGAACCACAACCUUUGUAAAUUUAUAUAAUAAUAGUUUUAUAAUUUACGCAUCCAUUUACACACAAUUUAUACAUGCAAUAGAUUAAGAAUGCCACUUUCUAUUAAUUUAAUCACAAAAGAGAAAAAGAGAUCAAUUAAAUCAUCAAUUUAUACUGACAGACAUAAAAUGACCUAGACUCUGACGUCAAUUUCGGAAAUGACAAUGUUUUAGUUGACACAACGAAAUAUUAAAAUUUUUCAUAAAACGGUAUAUUUAUAUUGAUAUCUAUAGUAAUAAAUCAAAUAAAGUACAUGUGUUUUCAAGCUUAGGGAGAUGCUCAAAAGCUUUUAGGAAUGUGUUGGACUUGUCGAAUGAUUCAAUUGGAGUUCAAUUCCUUCAAGCUUUCAACCAAAUAAUCUUUUCCGCUAUUCUUAAACUCUCCGAUACUUAGAGCGUGGGAUUUAAUGCAAAGAGCCAAACAAAAGAUGAAAACUGAGACUACACAAAGGGGUAAGUUAACUUCUUUUAAAGUGUGGGUCUAAAAUCAAAAUUUAUUUUCUAAAUUUGAAUUAUAAUUGCCAAUGAAAUUGCAAUUAUGAUCUCACAACUUUAAACAAGAUAAACUAGAAAAAUAUAAUCUUCUUGAAUUUAGGGAAAAACAACUCAAAUAAAAUUUUACUAAAUUUUGACAGAGUUCUCCCUUAGCAUGCAUAUAUGUAAUUCAACACCUCCUAGUCUCUAUUUAUAUAGGAAAAAUCACAAGAUUUAUAUUUGAGCAAAGUAAGCAUAAAAAUAAUUAUUUAAUAGAAAAUCGAGUCUUCUUAGGACUCCCAAACGAGUAAAAAGUCAAUGGCACCAAUGAAUAGAACUCCUUGUGUGCCAAGGAACUCAUGCCCAAAAUGGGCAUCGUAGACCAACUUGUAUUAGAUUUAAUUAUAUGUGCUAUCUAAUCUCAAUUUAUAUAUAAAAAAAAACAAGUUCAUAUAGUUAUCUAACCCAAUUAUUUAAAUUUUCUAUUCAUAAAUAAUUAUUUUUAGUAUUAAUUAAUCAAUUAAGUCAAUUAAAUAAUUUACACAACAUAAUUCUAAUUCCAUUAAAAUAACGACUUUACCAUAAAUGAAUCUAUGUGUAAAUUAAUUUAAUUACCCAAUCAAAAUAUAAUUACAAUGACUAAUUAAUUUAAUUUUCACUUUGAACACAAUAUUUAUUUAAUUUCAUACAAUUAAAUAAUACUCCCAAAGAAAUUAAAUUAAUUUCUAAAUUAUCUCUUAUUUUCUCAAAAAAAUAUAUUUACUGCAGAAAAUAAUUCAUACAAUCUAUUUUUCAUUUAUUGUUUUCUUUCAUUCAUUCGAACAAAUCUUAUUAUAUAGGAAAUAAGGUCAUGACCUUCCUUUAAAUUUCCAUAUUUUACCCUUAGAUGGUCAUUAUGAACAAUCCCAAAUUCAUUGGGACAUCGUGACCUCCUUAAAUAAUAGUUGCGAUCUCCUUCAAAUAUUUGUCUUCUAUUCAUUCGAACAGUUCUUAUUAUACAUGAAUGGUCAUGACCUUUCUUUAAAUUUUCAUAUUUUACACCUAAUUAGUAAUUAUGAACAAUCUCAAAUCCAUUAAGACAUCAUCAACUUCUUAAACAAUGGUUAAGAUCUCCUUCAAAUGUUGACAAAUCUCACCUCAAUUUAGUUGCAAAAGUUGCGACUUUCCAAGGUUUGUGUAGCGACCUUGAUUUGGAUUCUUGCAAUUUCCAUGCCAUGUUACAUAAACUUACUUCAUUAAAAUCACAAUUUUGUUGCUUUAAGUCGCGACCUUCCUAAAUUUCCAUAUUUUGCCCUUGAAUGUCCCUUAUUAACUGUCCCACCACGUGACCUUAAACAAUUAUCGGAACCUCCUCUAAAUGUUGGAAAAUUCCACCUCAACUCCGCUUCAAAAGACAUGAUCUUCCAAGGUUUGUGUCCAUCGCAACCUUCAUCUGGAUUCUUGCAAUCUCCAUAUCAAGUUAGUAGCAACAAGGCAGGUAUCCCGCUCCUAUUGGGAUGUGAGGUGACUCCAGUGGAUGCACACCUUAUGUCCUGUAGGGAAUUCAUUCUCUAUUCACUUUGGAUAACUCAUUCAUCUUUUCCAAUGUCGAACUCAACAAAAAAGAAAGCUUUGAUAACUCAUUCAUUCUCUAUUCACUUUGGAUAACUCAUUCAUCUUUUCUAAUGUCGAACUCAACAAAAGAGAAAGCUUUGAUUCACGAUUUAGUCCAAGUAUAUACAUUUUUUGUACUUAAAUUUUUUAUCUCAAUUUCAUAUCUAAAGUAUCAAUUUUUUCUAUUUUGGUCUAUUUUAUAACUACUGUUAAAAAAAUUUGUUAAGCCACUCUGACGAAUAGAAAAGUGUAAUGUAGUUUGUUUUUGGCCAAUUAAAAAAUGUCACAUGGUAAUUAGAUUUAUUUAAAUUAAAAAUAUUAAAUUUAAAUUAAGAAUAAAAAUAUUAAAUAUUUAAAUAUUAAGAAAUACUGUUGACUUUGAUUGACCGUUGACCAACUAUUGAUCGAUGUUGACUAAUUGUUGAUCAAUGUUGAUCGACAUUGACUUCCCAGUGAUGUUUAUUAGAAUACGUCACAUAUCCUUUUUAUUUUUUAAUAUUAUAUAUAUUAUAUUAAUUAAAAUGUAAAAAAAAAUCAUAUAUAAUAUGUAAAAAGUUAUUUUUUAAAAAAUUUUAAAAUAUAUAAUUAUAAAUUUUAAAAAUUCAAAAUAAUAUAUAAAAAUUGAAAAUUGUUAUAAAAAUUUUAAAAGUAUUUACGUUUCAAGUAAUUGCAAAAAAAACCUUGAAAUUUAAAUACUUUUUUAGAAUUUUAUAAAAAUUAAUUUAAAUAAUUUUUUAGAAUUUUAUAAAAAAAUCUUUUAAAACUUUUUUAAAAUAUCUUUUACAGUUUUUUAUAAUUUUUAUAUUUUUUUACAUUUUUAAAAAAUAAAUUAUUUUUUAAAAAUUAUUUUUCGAAAGUCAUUUUCAAUAAAAUAAAUAGACCCUUCAUCUUGAAUUUGAUCCGAUUUAGUUUAGCAAUCCAUUUUUUAUAUAUUCAUUAAAUAUUUUAAAAAAUAAAUUUACAUAAUUAAAUUUAAGUAAAACUAUUUUUUAAUUAUUUAAUUUAAAUUCAAGAUCCAAAAUAAUAAUUAAAAAAAGUAUUUUAUUCAAAGCCCAAGAGGCCGCCAUACCUAUCGAUAGGUCCAUGUGGUACUCAAACAACAUAAAAUAACUAAAAAAAAAAUCCGAGUGGAUAAAUUCUAUUUGAUAUUAAAAAGGUAAAACUACCACAAAACCUCAUAUAUUAUAUCUUAAAUUGCAUUUUAGCCAUUAUAUUAAUAAGUGUGUAAACAGCCUUUCCGUGUUUUUUAUAUACGGUAUAAUAAUAAAUUUAGUCCUCAACCUUUACACCUUUAUUCAAUUUGACCCUUUCUUUUUACUAGAAGUAAAUUAGAAAUUUUUUAAACUCAUAAGGUUAAAGAGUCAAAAAAACCUUAGUAACAAAUUAAAAAAAUAAAUGAGUCCUUUUAAAAAUUAUUAAAAGAAUCUUAAAAAUUAAAAACUGUAAAAAUUUUUUUAAAAAUAACAUUGAAUUUUGAAAGAAAAAUGGGGAUUAGAUUUAAAAAAUCUUAUAAGCAUCAGACAAAAGCAUUGAAACAUAAAGUGUUAUGAGGUUGGGUAAUUUCUCCAACAUUUGCAUGUAACUGAAUAAACCAAAAUGAAUUACCUGCAAAUUUGAUAACCUAAUUGGUUUUGGUUUAUGAGUUUUGAGAAUCAAUCACAUGUCUUUCACCGGUUUUGGGUGACAAUUACUAAAGAUUCGUUUCCAUUUAUUGACUUUGGUUUUUAAUGAUUUUUUUUCUUCUUUGAAAUCUAAUCUCAAUCUUUUCUUUAAAAAAAAUCAAUUUUAAUGAUCGGUAUUGUUAUUUUUAAUAAAAAAAUUAUAAUUUUAGUUUUUUUUAUAUUUUUAUAAUUUUUAUUUUUUAAAGAAUAUUUUUUAAAUGUUUAAAAGGACUUAAUUGAUAUCUUUUAAUUUGUUACUAAGGCCUUUUUAAAUGUUUAAUUUGUUUAUAAUUUUUUUGGUCUAAGGCCUUUAUAGUAUUUUCUUCUAAUAGGGGUCAAAUUGAAUAAAAACGUAAAGGUUGAGGACUAAAUUUAUUAUUAUCUAUUAUAUAUAAAAUGCUAAAAUAAACAUUUAAUGGCACAUUUUAAUGAAGGAGUUGUAUUGCUCACUCAUCUAAUAUACAAUGACCAAUUUACUUAAUUUUUCGGUAAAAAAGUAAAAUGCAAUCUAAAGUAUAGUAAAGAGAUUUUGUCGUACUUUUACUGAUAUUAAAAUGACUACAGAAAAUAAAAUAUAAUAAAAGAAGGUCCAAGUAGACCUGGUCAGGGGUUGGGCCACCCGUCCAAGCUCAUUCGAAAAAUGAAAAGGUUUGAAUAAAAAUAUAAGGCCCAAAAGAAGGGCUUGAAUAAAAUUUAAAAUCCGUUUUUUAUAUGGGUUGCACAUUGGGCAAGAUUUUUUGGCCUAAGUUUAGCUUGAUCCAACCCAAAUAUAUUAUGUUAUAAAAAUAUUAUAUUAAUUAUAUGUUAAAUAAUAAUUGUAUAUAUUUAUAUUUAUAUUAAAUUACUAACCAAAUAACAAUUAAACCCAAAACCUAAAAAAACAUUUACCCAAUUAAAUAACCCAACCCAAAAUAUAAACUUUAAAAAAUUAUACUUAAUACAAAAAAUUAUUUAUUAUAUUUAUUUAUGUUUUUUUAAUAUAAUAAACCCUUUAGUAUAUUUAUAGUAGUGUUUUUAACAUAAAUAAUUUUUAAUGUGCUAGAAAACUUUUAUUUCAAUGUUUUUUAAUGCAUUUAGUGUAUUAUAUUUUUUUUUUCAAAAAUAUAAAUAAAAUUAAUCUAGAAAAAUUUAAAUAUGAAGCCUAAACUUAAAAACUUAUCCAAAUAUCUCGUGUAGGCUCGAUCUAGCCCGACCCAAUCCUCACUAUGAACACUUUUAAAUCCAAGUAAUUACUUAUUUGUCUAAAAAUAAAAUAAAUUUUAAAAAUUCAACAACUCUCUUUGAAUCUAAAACCUCGAAAUUCAUUUCUAAAUUCAUAAAAUUCUCAAAACCCAUUUCUUUUUCUUUGGUCUUCAUACUCAACCAGUUUAUAAUUAAUUCACAAUAAAUUUUCGACAUUAUUUUUUCAAAUAUUAUUUAUUAGAGUGAGAAUGAUAUAAAAUUUGAGUUUCUCUAAUACUUGUCCAGUUCAAAAAACUUGAGGGUAAAAGUAUAUUUACUAAAAAUUAGAUUAUAUUUUAUUUUUCUAUUUAAAAAAUAAGUAAAAAGUUUUUACAGAUUAAAUCAAAGAGUAAAUUUUGGUCAUUUUUAUUAAAAAAAAUUCAUACAUUUAUACAAGUAAAAACUUAUGUAACUGACAGAUACGUAUAGAGACCAAUUUUUAAUAGUUGACUCCUUGAUCUAACAUACAAAAAUUAAUUUAUUCAUUUUUUAAAUAAAAGAAUAAAAUGUAAUCUGACUGUUAGUAUAAAAACCUCCACGAUACUUUUUACCAAAUUUUAGUAGAUCAAAAGCAACUACUUACUUGAUAUUCCCUAUUGCUUUUCCCCUUUAUUAUUUUUAUGCUACUGCACCCGGUGCUUACAACUAAGAAUAUCUUUGAUCUAAUCUACAAUCACUUAUUCUUGUCUUUUUGAGACGUUGAUUUUUGGUGAAGAUUGCAAUUCCUUUCCUUCCUUACGAAUUAAUUCUUGUCUGUUAACAGCUUUGGUCUUACAAACACAGCCAUUGAGAAAGCUUAAUAUCCCUUUGGUAUUGAAUUGAAUUUUUAAUCAUAUAUUGCAACACUUUUCUCAUUAUCAAAUACGAUACGACUUAAUUUAAUUGUCUAAAUAUGUUUUAAUUACCAUAACAUAUCUUUUAGCGCAGCAAUAAAAAUUUUGGUUAUCAGAACUAUUAUGUAAUGAUAAUAUAUUAAGUGGAAGAAAUUUGUUUCACUGAUGUAAAUUUAUAUGCUAAUUUUUUUUACGUAACAUUGUUAUAAUGAUUGCAAAAUAUUAUCUUGCAAUGACAUUACAAUGUCGCGACGAGAAAAGACCAAUAAUAUCACGGCGAGACAAGGAAUUUCGUCAUCUCGAUGAGGCUAAAACAAUAAGUGACGUCGCGACAUUGAGUGGCCUGACAUCAUGAUGUGACGACGUCAGUCCUGAAAUUUGAAUUUGUUACAUUUUGGUCUUAAUUCAAUCUCGGACUAGUAUUAGAGCUUUCGUAUGCUCGUAUCAAAUCCGGGAAUGUUUACUUAUCAUAUUGUUUGUUUAUAAUGUUUGCAUUUGGAUGUUAAAUGGUUUGAAUUAACUUUAUUUUGAUCAUAGUUGUUUUGGUAACGAAUAUAACACCUUGUAACUUGGACCCAACGAUCAAGUCAGGUAUAGGGUAUUACAUUGCAUAUAUGUUUUAUGAAAAAAAAAUCAAUCCCUUAACUAAAUGUACUUAUCUAUUUUUAACAAGAAAAAAAAGAGAUUGAUGCUUGAAUAAUCAUUUUAAUUAACACUUAUUAUCAGUGUUGUUUUAUUGAAAAAAAAAUCAAUCUCUUUAAUAGAAGCAACAAUCCUUUAAUUAAAUUUACCAAACGACCUGUGUCAUUCUUAUCAAAUGCUUUAUUCAUAUAUUGAACACUGAUGAAGAAAACACCCAGAGUUCUUGAUGAACACUGCCAAUAUUUCAAUAUUAUUCAAUGAAUGAAUAUCUGAGUACACUUCUCAUACUAAAUUUUCAUUGCAAUUACCUUUUAAUAAUCUUUCCAAUAUAUUAAAUUGGAAAAUGAUAUCUCAAAAAUGUUAUGAUUUGUCCAUAAACUAUUUUUUAGCUCACCAAAUUGUUGCUCUUUGGUACCAUAUAAGUUUCAUCCUCUUUGGUUCUUACUGAUCACAUUUCCUCUGAUUUCUCUUGUUCUUUUUUAAUAUUGUUUGACCGGGAGGGACUGAAAAACCUUGGGGACUUGGCUUUUAUUUGUCAAAGAAAUUUUAGGUGUCGGCCACAUUCGCAAACUGAAUGAAAGUUCAGCUGCAAUUGGCAUAAUUCAGCAAUGUUUAGAUGACACCAAGUGUCCUUAAAUGAAUCAAAGGGUUUUUAUGGAAGUGUUUAUAUUAAUUGUUAGAUUGUAUUUUAUUUAUUUUACUAAAAAAAUAAAUAAAUUAGUUUAUGUAUGUUAAAUCAAAUAGUAAAUCGAUCUUUUUAUUAAAAAUUUCAUAUAUUUCUACUAUUAAAAACUAUUUCUCGUGUGCCAACAUGAUAUACAUGUAGUAUCUCACAUAUGACUGUUUAAUUAUUCCGUCAACCACACCAAAAAAUAUCAAUAUACUCUUUGUACUAAUAUUUAUAAAGUAAUUUGUUCAUUCUUUAAAUAAAUAAAAAAAUAAAAUAUAAUUUAACUCUUUAUACAAGAAACUCCAAAAUAUUUCUACCAAAUUUGUGCUUUAAAAAAUGCAGUUAAAUUUAAUAUAUAAUUAUUGGUUGAUGUAAGUAAGUAUUUAAUCGUAAUGUUAUCACCCAAUACGCUCAAAAGUCCUCCAAUUUCCAUCGCUUAAUGUGCAAUAGAAAAAUCUUUCAUCCAAUUGUCUCUCUCUCCGUACGUAAAAGGUGAUGAUAAUGAGGCUAAGAUCCAAAUACAUGGAACUGACAAGCGCAGAAUUUCACCUGCUAAAUCAUUAUUCCAUUGUACAAGUCAAAGCAUCAACUAACCAAGUUGCUCUCUGUCUGGGUGCUUCACAGAAUGAAUUUCAGCUUUGGGAAUUUUCAUAUCAAUCGUGUCAAAAGUACCAGGAUUCUAUAACCUCAAAAUGUUGAAAAAAUAAAAACGAAAAAACCAUACAUCAUGCAUGUACUUUAAGUUAAAAUCAUAGAUCCUAAGGUCCUCGAAUCAUGAUCAAAUGUUUGGGGUUUAUCCUUAUCACUUCCCUCACUGUGCUUUUAUCAUAUUAAUCAGCUUCAGUCAUGGCUUGUCCCCCACUGCCUUAAUAACACGCGUGCGCCCGCAGAUAAGGUCACAUUUUUGUCAUUCUCCAUUUUCAUCUUCAACCCCGGCCACUAUUAUCAGAUGGUAUCCUCAAUAAUAAAUCCAAACUCUUUUUCUUAUACCAAAUUACCAAGUCUUAUGGCUUUUUAUUAUUUCUUUUUUCUAAAGUAUCCCAUAAAUUUUGGGGUCCUCAAUAUUUAACAUGGUGCCACUACUUACUAGUCGGUGGGGUUUUGAGUGUUUUGGGCAUAUGCAUCAUUAACAGAUCAUAUCAAUCAACUCAAAUUGUAAAAGAUAAACAACACACUAUAUAUCUUAAAGCAUGAAUUCCCAUCUCUCUGAAAUUACAAACUACAAAAGCUCUACUCCAUCAAUUAUUGAUUAUCAUGCUCUUCUUUUGGAUCCUAUUCUUUUCUCAACUUCUUUUCAAUCUAUUCAUAGCCUUGACCCCUAUAGCUCAACUACUAUGGACAAGUUUGAGGUCCUAUCAUCAACCUCCUAAAAUCAUAGGUAAUUUUAAAGAUGGCAAGGUACAGUUUUUUUUUUACCUCCAUCACUUUAUUUCACUGAAAAUAAUUUUGUAUAAAAACAUUUUUCAUAUUCUUAUAAAAUUUCUUGAAAUCAUUUUUAAAUUUGCUCCUAAUGAAACAGACACAAUAUAAAUAUAUUUAUUAUAAAAUAUUAUAUUUACAUUUUCUUUUGACAAUCAAAAUUUAUUUUAUAAUAAGAUAAUAUUCUAUAAUAAUUAACAUCAUAUAUAAAGUUAAUAAUAUACAAUGUCUAAUUAAAACUUAUUUAAAUUGCAUAUACAAAAGUUGAUAGUGACACAUUUGAGUUGGAAGUGAUAAAUGAAGCUAAACAUGGUUUAAAUGAACACUCAUAUUUAUAUAAUUAAAAUAUUCAUAUUUUAUAUUAUAUGUUUGCUUUGAUGUAUCAAGCUUUUGAUAUAACAACAUUUAAGAUAAAUUUUUAUUUAUAUUUCCUAAGCCAUUUAGUGAAAAUAAUUAUUGAGAAUUUUGUUAAACAUUUUCAAUGCAUUUCAAAUACUUGUAAAAAAACUCAAAAACAUAUUUUAAAUAUAUUUUAAUUUAAUUUAUCUAACUGUUUUUGAGUCAAUCUAAAAUGCUUUCAAGUGUUUUAAACUCAUUUUAUACAAGUUUGGGAAGUUGUAUCAAUACUUGGAGAAAGUUCUACUAAUAGAAGCAAGUCAAAUAGCACCCCAAGCAUUCCUCCAGACUUCUAUUGAUACAAGUCACUUCUACCCAUGCAAGUACAUUUCUACCUAUAUAAGCCCACUUCUACCCCUACAUUUUGUGAGUUGUAUUAACACAAGUCUGUCUGCAAUGUUUCCAACGGCUAGAAACUAUCCCCAACAGCUAUAAACGAUCACAAAAUUUCCCCUUGUCAUAUAUACGCAUCAAGAACACUUCAAGAUACAAGGGAUGAGCAUCAAGCUCAACAUAUACAUAUACAUUUAAAUUAUGUAAUAUCACUAAAUACAUAUCAAUUUCAUAAUCAACUCAACAUCCACUAAUUUCUAUUCAACUAAACCAUUGUACCUCAAUAUGGUACCCAAAUUAUACCAAUUCAAUUUGUACAAAUCUAACCUAUAUUAUAUAACAUUCAACCAUUUACAAUUCAUUCAAUUCCAUAGUAUUUUCUUCAUACCAUUAAUCGAUUGCUACCUAGUCAAUAUCUAUUUCACAUAUAGAUAUUCCAUAGCUUACAUUACCAUAUUAAAGACUACAAGUAUAACUUGUACAAAUAUUGUCUCACAACAUAACCAUUCGAUACUACAUAUUUUUCUAUGUCUAUUAUAUAUUUAAUAAUUUUCAAUUUAAUCCUUUUGAUGCCAAAAACAUUAUAUAAUAGCAAUUAAACUAUAAAGCAAAACAAUAUAAUACAAAUAUAUUAUCAAUUAAUAAAGAAAGUCCCAUAUGAACUUAUCUGGAAAAAUAACAAGCAAUUAAGGUGUUAGGGACUAAUAUGCAAUUUUUUCUUUUUCUCGAUUAUCUUUCGAUCAGCUCAAAGCUCAAUCUUUUAACAAUUUAUUUAUAUUUAUCAAUUUCAAACAUCUUAGAACAGACUAUUGUAAUCAUAUAUUAAUUCAAUUUAAUUUUUUAGAUGUCUCCUAAAAUUUUGCAUUUUAUUCUAUUUAGUCCCUGAAACUUAAACAACCAUAACUUACAAAUAUGAGCUUCGAUUUUUAAUCUAAUUUCAAUUACAUCAUUAUAAGCCCUCUAUUAUCUAUAAUUUUAUAAAUUAAACAUCAGUUUCAAAUUUUUCACACUUUAGUCCCUAUAUUCAAAAACUAACAAUUAAAUUUUACAAACUAGUUCUUUUUCAUUUCUAAGCUUAAAAGCUAACAUUUUAACACCAAAACUUCAAGAAUUCAUCAAUGACAACAUUUUUAAACUUUAAUAUUUUUGAAAAAUAAUAUACGGGUUAGCUAAAUCGAGUUACAACAAUCUCAAAAACAUAAAAAUUACGAGAAAUAGGCUCCGAAAUCCUUACAAUGCACUUGGCCAAACCUUAGAAGCUUAGAACAAUGGCUUCUUAUGUUCUUUGUUUUUGGUUUCAGUGGAAGAAGCAAAAAUGAUGAACCACCUCUUUCUUUCUUUUUUUCCCUUUCAUUUGUUUUAUUAUUUUAUUUACUUUAGUUUAAUUAAAAUUUUAUUAUAAAAUAUAAAAAAUUCACACCUACUAUGACUAUCAAAACAAAUUUGGUUUAAUUGUCUUUUUAGGCCUUUGUUUAAUUACUAAAUAAGUCUUUUAACAAAUAACAAUCUAUACGAUUAACUUUUACUAUUUUUUACAAUUUGGUCAUUGUACCUUAAUUAACUAUCCGACUGACAAAAUUAAGGGACCAAAAUUUAAAACUAAACUUUAUACUAACCUUGUAAAUAUUAAAUAAUAAUAUUUAUAAUCUUGAACAUUGAAAAUGGGGUUCCACAACCAGAUUUUUUAAUACCACUGACUUUAGGAUCAUUACACUUGUACCUUAAUUAACUAUCAAUUAAGCAAAAAUUACUAGACCAAAUUUAAUAUAUUUUUAUACUAGCCUUGUAAAUAUUAAUAUUUAAUAUUGACGGACACGGUUUACAGAAAUGACAUUUCGGAAUCGUAAUUUUCGACACCACUGAAAAUCGAGUCGUUACAGUAUAGGCUUUAGGUAUACUUGUAUAGGACUUUUGACAUGUUCAUAUUACAUUUUCUGUAUUUCUGCAAUUUUGUCUCAAGACAUGUUCUUAAAGUCAAGAGACAUCUGUCUAAAAAAUGAUCAUUUGGUAAUUUUGUUGUUGAAGUCUCGAGAGUUGAGGGAAAUGUCUCGAGACAUCUGGCCUUAAGCAGUUUCUGAGUGCAUUUUUAGAUUCCUAGGAGCAUAUAAGGUUGUAUGAUACUUAUGUAUAUGCUUAGGGAGAAUAUCUUAGUUCGAAUUUUUCAAUAAAAAUAAAAUUACUUUGUACCUGAUUGAUCUUUAUUGAAAAUCAUUAGACUUUUCAAGAAAAUAUAAUGCUUAAAAAAAAUAUAUAUAUAUAUAUAUAUAUAUAUAUCUUGAUUUCUUGAAAUUAAGGUCAGAAGAUCUUUUGAAUAACUUUGCUUUAUCUACUAAACUUUGCUGAAAAUGUUCAAGAUGAUAAAAAAAUGCUUUUAUCUUGUUUUGAACCUUUGAUGGCCAUUUUACAAAAUAUAAAGUUCUUAAACUCUUCAUUUAAGUUAUGAUUACCCCAUUGCCUUAAGUUAUGUAUAAGGUACUUGAACAUGCUUUAGGAACAUGCUUAAGCUUAGAAUUAACCUUUAAAACUAGUUUUAGAACUAGACUUAGGAAUAGAUUAAACUUAGGGCUUAGGAUUUAGGACUCCUCAUUGGUAUCUAACUAUUACUUGAUAUAUCCUGGGAUACAUUUGCAAUGACAUAUUUUGUGCUUUAAAUUAAAAAUAUGGUUUGUACUAAUGUAAUAAUCACCUCCCUCACAUCACACUCACAUUGGUCUCCAUCGUUUGCUCACUUUGCUUUAUUAUUGAUUAGAUGCCAUUGUCAUCCCUCAUGCUUUAUAGAAUUGUCAUUUAAGCAUGAUGAUAUUAUGUGAUGAUUAGUAUAGUUGUUGAAUGAACUAAACCUUAUUUGCUCAUAUAGUUUUUCUCAUUCAAUGAAGUCUACCUUGUAUGAAUUUCUUCUUAUGCUCUUCAUAAUUAGUAUCAUUGUAGCUUUGAUGAGCUUUUGAUAUCCAUUUUUGACAUCAUGGUACUUGGAAUGCCUUAUUUCAUUCAUUAAUAAUUGGUAUCUAGAAAGGAGGAUAAAAUCAUUAGGAUAUGCAUCUAGUAAGGGAAAGUCUUAGAAAUAAAAAUUGCAUGAGAACUUAUUGAAUUAUCCUAGAAAUGCAUUUCUUUUAUUCUUGUUUCAUGCCUUGUUCACCUUUCUUGUUAACAAUUAGUAUUUUUGCAAUAGCACUUUUUCAGUAAAAUCAGAACAGUGGUUUCGGGACAAAUCCGAAGUCAAAAAAUUUAUUUUUAUUACUAUUUUAUGUUCUACUGUAUGAUAGAAAUACAAUAUAAAAAUUUCAUUAAGAAAUUUUGCCGUUUACAUACCUAAUUUGCUGAAAAGGACUAAAUUGCAUUAAGUGCAAAAGUUGAGUUCUAAUAGCUAAAGGUAUUAAAUAGCUAUAUAAUUUUAAAUUGGAGGUCCUUAUAUAGUAAAUAGACCAUUAAAAUGCUUAGUGUUUAAGCAUGAAUAGCCAUCAUUGGAAAUUUCAUGAAACAUUAAGGUUAAUUUUGGAAAUUAUCAAUUAAAGUGAUAUUAAAUAAAAUUAAAAAAUCUAUUAUCAUCAUCUACCACCAAAUAAAAAAAAUAGAGAAAACCUAGCCAUGGAAGCUUCAGAUAUUAGCAAGCUCGCUUUGCUUAAUUAGGUUUGUAUUCUUGUCCCGUUUUUUAUGAUUUCUAUGUUUCCGAUAUCGUAGUAGCUUAAUCUAGCUAGCUCAGAGAUUAAUUUGCAAAAUUGAUAAAGUAUUAGGGUUUUUCCAUUGAUGAGUAUGCUUGAAUUUUGAAGCUUUAUGAUAAAAAAAAUGAAAGGUUGUUGUUAGAUAAACAACUUUUGUAAAGAGAAUUUUGAUGAAAUUAUCAAUUAGGGAUUAAAUUGAAAAAGAUGAUAAAUUUAUGGUAAAAUUGUGAAAUUGCAAAGUAUGUGGGCUACUAUUAAUAUGUAUAAAAAUUGACUAGGCUUGAGCAAGGAUUAAAUUGCGUGACAGUCAUUUUUUGAGCCUAGAGACUAAAUUGUAAUAAAUUAAAAGUAUAAGGGCAAAAUAGUAAUUUUUCCAAAAAUGUGUGUUGGACUAAAUUGAAUAUGAAUUAUAUUGAAAUUGAGUUAAAUUCAUUCGUAUAGUUCUGGUUAGACCUAGUACGGAGUUAGAUCGAGGCAAAGGAAAAAUAUCGGAUUAGUCGCCUUCGUAUCUAUAUAAACUCGUUAAGGUAAGUUCGUGUAAUUAAAUUGUACAUUAAUAUGUGUUAAAUUGAAUUAUUGUUUGUGAAUUGUACAAUUUCCAUGAAUAAAUACCAGUUGUAUAUUCGACAAUUACCGAGUCUCGUGUGAACCUUAUGAAAUUCGUAGGAUACAAAUGAUAUGUCAUCAGGGUUACCGAUUUGGUUGGGGUCCUCCAUGUGUUGCAGACACACCAUAGCUCGUAUGAGCUUCCCGCUAUACAGCUCGCAUGAGUUUUCCGUUAUUCAGCUCGCAUGAGCUUCCCGUAAUUUAGCUUGGAGGAGCUUCCCGUUUACAGUUCGUAUGAACAUACAUGAAUAUGAAUUGACGGAUUAUAGUUCAGUACACCUUAUGUGUACUACCCAUGUAUCCAACGAUAUUCUAAAUGGUUCAACAGACACAAUUCUGGUAUGAAAUCAUAUGAGUUUGAUAUGAACUAUUACCGGUAUAUACAUGAAAUAUGAUUAUUUGAUGAAUUCAACCAUGUGUGUUGGAUUUUUGUGUGAUUUUCAUGGCUAAUAUGUUGCUGAUCAUGUGUUUAGGCUUUUGGCCAAAUUAAUUGAGAUAUGCUAUGUUUACUUACCUAUUUUGUGGAAAUAUGGCAAGUUAAAUUUUGUAUUAUACGAAGUUCCUAAGCUUAAACGCUUACUCUGUGUUAUUUUUCAUGUUUUAUAGUAAUUCGGUAGCUUAUUUGGGUUGAAAGCUGGUCGGAGCUAUUUCACACUAUCCAUCGGCUCUUUUGGUACUUUCAAUAAAUUAAUUUCGGUUAUAAUGGCAUGGAUAGGAUAUUUUGGCCAAUGUUGGUAUAUAAAUGUUUGGUUGAGACAAGCCAUUUGAAUGGCUUGUGUUUGAUGUAUUUUGAUGUGUUUAUAUAUGUGGUCUUAACAUAUUUAAUGUGUGUUUGAUAUGGUUGAAUGAUGGAAAAAUUAUAGGUAUAUUGAUGAUUGAUUUGAAAUGGUAUAUUUGGCAUAAUUAUGCAUAUAUGCAUUUGGUUAUCUAGGUAAAUAUGGAUAUUUGGUUGACAUGUUAUUAAUUUGUCAUUUGAGGUGCCUAAGGGCAUAUUGGUUGUAUAUUGUGAUAAUAAAUGUUUAAGACUUGAUUUUAGCUUGAUUUGAAUGUCUUGUUAUGGUUCGUUGAUAUGCAAAUUUUUGUGUUUAGGUUGGUACCAAAUUGGGUGAGAAAUGUAGCUUAGAAAUGACCUAUUUUUGUCCACACGGGCAGAGACACGGGUGUGUGUCUCAGCCGUGUGUCACCCGGCUAGGUGACAUGGCCGUGUGUCCCCUGUAUCUUUAAAAUUGCGCAAGUCAGUAUGCUCAACACGGCUUAGCACACGGGCGUAUGACUUGGCCGUGUGAACCAAGUCAGAGAGUUACACGGGCACGGACAUAGGCUGAGGCACGACCAUGUGUCCCUAUUUUGAAUGCCCACAUGGCCUGAGACACGGGUGUAUCUCUUGGCCAUUUAAGUCACAUGGCCGUGUGUCCCUUGCAACUUUGAAAAUUUUCAAUGUUUUUCAAAAAAAAUUUUGUGUAUCCAAUUUAGUGCUGACUUGCUUCUAAUGCGUAUUUUGGGCCUCGAAGGCUUAUAUAAGUGACAAUAUGUUUGUUUUCGGUUGGUUUAUGAUAUGAAUAUUAUAUCAUGUGAAAUAUUUGAAAUUUCUAUCUAUUUGUUCUCUAAACUCCGAUAAUGCUCCGUAACCUUGUUCCGGCAAUAGAUUCGAGUUAGGGGUGUUACAAUUUUUGUUUAAGUAUCAAUUGUUAUAUUUCAUUAGGUAUGAAUUUAGAUGAACUUUUAUGCAAUUAUGACUUAUUUGUAUGAUCCUUAGAAUUCUUUGCAUAAAAUGUUCUUUCUAAAUGGAUUUCAAGCAUCCUUAGAAUUCUUUGCAUAAAAUGUUCUUUAUAAAUGGAUUUCAAGUAUGCUUAUUUGUCAUAUCAUUGCUUCUUGAAAUUCAUUGUUUACUUGUGAGAAUACAAUUGACGUGAUUUUUAUAUGAAUAUAUUAUGACUCGUUGUGUUCUUGCAUCAAUCUUUAUUUUUGUUAAGCCUCAAUUUUUUUAAAAAAAUCUUUAAAUUGAUUGCUUUUUGAUAUACCAAAAAGGGGAAAAUAAGAUGAAAUUUGCAUGUGCAUAGAUUUUAGAUAUGUUUAUCUUGUAGAUGCUUAUGUAAAUCAAUUAAUGUUCAUACCUGUAUGCUUAUUUGAUGCACUGCUUAAAUGCAUGAGAUUUAUAAAACAUUGGGAUUCUACAUUGAAUUUAUUGUAUAUGCUUAUUUAUCAUAUCUCUUUUUGAAAUUCUAUGCUCUUGUUUAAGUAUUUGCGCUUAAUUUUUUUCGAGGAAUAAUUUAUUAAGGGGGUGUUGUGUUUUGAAAAUGUCUAAAUGAUUUAUGAGGAGUCUUUCAAAAUGCAUAUUUCUCUUAAAAUUUUUUUAUAUCAAAAAGGAAGAUAUAGUUAGCUUUGAUAUCCCAAACUUUUGAUAUAACAACAUUUAAGAUAAAUUUUUAUUUAUAUUUCCUAAGUCAUUUGGUAAAAAUAAUUAUUGGAUAUUUUGUUAAACAUUUUCAAAGCAUUUUGAAGAUUUGUAAAAGUACUCAAAAACAUGUUUUAAAUGUGUUUUAAUUUAUCUAAAUGUUUUUGAAUCAAUCUAAAUGUUUUUAAGUGUUUUAAACUCAAUUUAUACAAGUCUGAGAAGUUGUAUUGAUACUUGGAGAAAGUUCUGCCAAUAGAAGUAAGUCUGAGAGCACCCCUAAACAUUCUUCUAGACUUCUACCAAUACUCAAGGGGACUUCUACAAAUACAAGUCCAUUUCUACCAAUAUAUCUUGCGAGUUGCACUGAUACAAGUCUGUUUGCAAUGCUUCCAACGGUUAGAAACUAUCCCCAGCGAUUAUAAACGGUCACAAAAUUUUCCCUUGUUAUAUAUACACAUCAAGAACAAUUCAAGAUACAAGAGAUAAACAUUCAAUCAUAGAAAUCAAGAGAAAAGUCUUCAAUUCUUUAUUUUCUCUUGUCCAUAUUCAUUGAGAGCGUAUUGUAAUAUCUUUUCUCACUCACAAAUAUUUGUAUUUAGAGCUUUAAUUUGCAAACACAUACUUAUUAAAGGUUCAUUGUUAGUUUUCUCAUCUUCUCUUUGUAGUAAAGAUCACACUUAAGGUUUUUAAAGUAUAAAACCUUAAGUAGAUUGUAAAAGGUUUCUAGUUGAGUUACAAAAUUAGCUAUAGGGUUUUAGUUAAGCCAUACAAAACUAGGAGAAAUGUUCUAUUUUAGCCUUGUGAGAAAGAUAAUGAUUGUAAAUGUUAUACAUUUUCCUUGAAAUGUAAUAAUUCAAGUAUAGUGAAUUAGGAAAUCCUUGGUUGAGGUAUAUCAAGGUAAUGGAGGUAGGCAAUUGGGGCUGAACCACUAUAAAUCGAAUUAUCCAAGUUUUUCUUCCCUUUCCUUAUCAUUUAGAAAAAAAUAUAUAAAAUUUUUAAAAUACCAAUUCAACCCUCUUUUGGUAUUUUCAGGCCUAACACUAUAAAACAUUAAUUAGUAAUAUUUAUAAAUUAUAAUAUGUAUUAUUAAAAUAUUAAUAAAAAUAAUUUUCAAUAAUAUAAAUAAUUAGUAAUAAUUUAUUAUAUUAUUAAAUAUAAAUAAUUAAAUAUGUGUUUAAAAUAUUGAAUAUUAUUUGAUAUUAAUAUUUUAAUAUUUUUAACUAUAAAAUAAAAAUUAUUAAUAAUAGUAAUAUUAGACUUGAUUUAAGUUAAUUUUUAUAUAAAAUUAAAGUUACUCGUAAAAGAGUUAUUUUUCUAAAAAUUACUUACGCUCUUUAAAAUGGUAACUUAAUUUGCAAGAAAAGAGACUUAAUUUUGAUUGACUAGUAAAUAAUUUUCCAUUAACCAACCUACUUUUCAUGAAAUAAACACACACAAAAUAUAUAUAUAUAGAUAUAUAUAGAUGACUUUUAAUGAAACAAUCACACCCUUUAUAUUAUACUAGUUUCUCAUAAAUAAAUCAACCACAUAUUGUGAAGUCUUAUAAAUAAUAAAUAAUUCUAAAUAAAAUAUAUAAAACUUAUAUAUAAAAUCAAAACACAAGCAUUUUUAGUAAAUUUAUUUUAAAAUUGUUGCAAUUCAAUUUCAAAAUUUUUAAUAAAAACUCAACCUAACCCUCAAAUUUGAUUUUUUUAAUAAGUAGUUAUUUAAAAUUUAUCAUUUUUCUUAAAUUUUAUAUUAGAUAGGAAAUUAAUAUGUUAUCUUAAAUAUUAAUAUUAUUCAGAUGGAUGAUGAUAUUUAAAUAAAAUAUUUCCAAUAAUAAUGAUUCUAGUAUCCAAACUUAAUGGAAAUGUAUGGAUAAAAAUACAGUACACCACCAUUUCUUCCCCCAUACUUACUUGGUUCAAAUUUCCCAUUUUAGUCUUAGGAAUCUAGCAAAGAAAUAUGAACUGUUGAAUGUGGUCAAAAUUAGCUGCACUGACUUUUAGUUACUUAUUGGUAUGAAAAAUAGAAGAAAAGAACACUGGUUUUUGCCUGUACAGUGCACCAAUAGUCUCAUUAUUAUUUUUUAUAAUAAAAUAUAAUAUUUAAAUAUUUUUAAAAUUUUAAUGUUUUAAAUAAUUUUUUUAGAAAAUAAAAGAUAUUUAAUAAUAAUAAACGAGGGAAGAUAAAUAUUUAAGACAAAAAUGAUUAUUGGUUUUACAAAAUUAAUUUAAAAAAGCACUUUUUUAUUAUCUAUUUUGCAUUAUUUAUUAGUUGUUGCAAAAUUUUCUAGCAUGCUUCAAUAUGCCGCCUACCUCUGAUGAGGGAAAACCCCAUCAUUCCACGUUUAGUUUAGCUGUUUAAUUUAUAUGAUAUAUUUUGUUCACUCAAGCACGUUUCUUCUGAAGUGACUCUAGAAACCCAAUAAAAUGGAAGAAUUUUUUUUUUUAGUAUUUUAAUAAGUAGUUAAUUUUCAAGAAUUUUAUUUAGUAAAUAAUUUAUUUUGAUAAUUAUAUUAGAUUCUCACUAAAUUCAAACUGAAAUUGAAUCGAAUUUUUAAAUGAAAAUAAAGUUUUUUUAACAUUGUUUUCUUGGAUAAUAAUACUUUUUUAUCCCUAUAUUAUGAAUAAAAAAAGGAAAAUGGAGGAAAUGAUUGUGCAUAAGAAAUUCCAUAGAUUUCAAUUUCAGGCCAUCUUUUCUCCUUUUUUGUAGGCUUUUAUAUAUAUUAUUUAAUUUGUAAUUAGAUUUUAGGUUUUCUGUCAAAGGUGUAUGUUUGCACGGUUGAAUGGGUAACUUAUCUGCUCUUUUAAGGUCCAAAUACGAGGGCAUACAGUUAAGAGUGUGAUGUAAAGGAGCAUGACCCCACUUUGUACUUGAUUUAAAUGAUCAUUAACACUCUUGAUUUGGUUCUUUUUCUUCAAUUGAUUGAUGAUCAAAAUACUUUGAAUGUUCCAAUUUCAAGUCUUUCACUAUUUUGGUGUUUUUAUAUGAACAGUGAAAGGACCCAUUUGGGGCACUGUUCUUAGCUUUGCUACUCGCCACCUCUGCAGCCUAUAAUUCAUAGACUAAUUGUACAAUUUGAUGCCAACCCCAUCUAAAAGAAUUCUUCUAAGGGGGUCACAUGUGCAGAAACUCCAAUUGGUGUUGUAUGCUUUUUUUCUCGUUUUCUACUUUCUAGGUGUUGUUUGGAACAUUGUUUUAGACCCCUUUGAAGCCUAUAAAUUUGAGUUCACCAUCUAGCUUCACUUUCAAAAUUUGCCCAUAAUAACAAUAGCUUUGAGCCUUUUUAACAAACACAAAAAUAUGAGAGCAGCUAUGCCUCCUAUUAAUACAAAGAACAUGUCUACUCCUCUAGAAGAGGAGGAAAGUGAGCUGAGAAGAGGACCAUGGACCCUUGAAGAGGAUACUCUCCUAACACAUUACAUUGCUCGUCAUGGAGAAGGGCGUUGGAAUAUGUUGGCAAAAUGUGCAGGUACCAAACACAUCCUUCAACUCAUGUACAAGUUAUAAGCUUGUUAUACUUAUACCCUAUGUUCUUGUUGAUCCUUCCUCACUCAGGUCUCAAGAGAACUGGUAAAAGUUGCAGGCUAAGGUGGCUGAAUUAUUUAAAACCAGACAUUAAGCGUGGAAACCUGACUCCCCAAGAACAGCUCUUGAUUCUUGAACUUCAUUCCAAGUGGGGAAACAGGUACUUGUAGAGGUUCAUUUUUGUAUUUAUCAAUGUUUAAUAAUGACCUGAUAUCUAUUUGUCACUUCAGGUGGUCGAAAAUUGCACAGCAUCUUCCUGGAAGAACUGACAAUGAGAUCAAGAACUACUGGAGAACAAGGGUGCAAAAACAGGCACGCCAACUGAAUAUCGAGUCCAACAGCCAGAGAUUCCUUGAUGCGGUUCGAUGUUUUUGGAUGCCAAGAUUGGUUCAAAAAGUGGAGCAGGCCUCACCAUCUUCCUCCUCCUCCUCUUCUUCUUCUUACUUGAAAGAAAUGUGCACCCAAAGCUCAGUUCCUUCUCAAUUAUCUAGCUGCUGCACAGUCCCUUCAUUCCCAACAUUUUCCCCACUUGCGAACAAAACCACAGACAUUUCAAAUUCAAGUUCAGUCACCACCCAGAACAUUUGUCCCACAGAUUCCAUCAACAUUUCGGACCAAACUGAAAUUCCCCAACACCUAACAGGUUCCAACGUAUAUAGCCAUACAACUCUUGACCAAUGUUACAAUAUCGACAGCAAUGAUUAUGGCAUGGAGGGUAUCAGCUUUGCAUCUAUGUCAGCUGUAGGCUUCUAUGAAGGAACCUCAUCUGAAGGCAACUGGAUGUGCACUGAGAUGAGUGAUAAUUUAUGGAACAUGGAUGACAUAUGGCAGCUUAGAUCUAUGUAACCAGUGCCAGGGGGGAAUCAAUACUUGUAUAAGAAAUCAAGCAUUAUUGAAGUGAUUUUCAAUAAAGAGAUUACUCUGUAGCAUUACUGCUAUUGUUAGUGUAUAUUAUUCUUAUCUGGAUAUUAUCAUUUCAUAUAUAAAAAUAAUUUAUUCAAUUUCUACGAGGAAAUCAAAUUGAUUGCACCUUGACCCCUUCCAAGGUUUAACUGAAUGAUAGGAAGAGAAGAAAUUGUAAUGGUGUGUAGUCAACUCAAGGAUAUUAUGGAGGGAAGUGACAACUCAUACCAUCAAAAGUGGAGUCACAUCCAUUUUUUGGAACAAUUAUAUGCAUUGUUAAUUUAGACUUUAGUGUCAUAAUUUUUUUGUUUAAAGAUGAAAAAAAAGGAGUGGAAACAGUCAAAUUCGGUUCUUUGACGAUUACAAUGUCCCAACUACUCUCAUUGCCUUUAUUGCUAGUAAUUAUAUUUCCCAAUAACCACGGUGAAAUUAGAAACCUAUUUAAGCAAAGAAAAUAAAAGAGAUCGAUUACAAUUUUCCCGGAAAAGGAAAAAUGAAAGGGAAUUUCUCCAGGGCUUUAGCCCUGCCACAUAUUGUAUAUAUAGAGGGUGAUUUACCUAAAAAGUCUAUUUUUAAGUAUAUUUAUGAAAAUAUAUCGAUUUCUGUAUUAUUUAUUGAAAAUGGCCGAUUUUGGUAAAACGUGUUCCCGUGGAGCUAUUUAGGGAGAAAAUGCCAGCAAAUCGCACUCCUGAGGGAGCGUUUUUAUCAUGUCAGCAUAAAACGUGCUUUGCUGACGUGGAUGCGCUUUGUUGACAUAGCAAAAAUGCUCCCACGGGAGCGUGUUUUGCUCCGUGUUCUUGACUCCAAUGGCUUUUUUUUUACCGUUGGGGAGUCCAACUGUAAAAAAAAAGAGAGUAUAAAACCCCCUCGUAUUAUUUCACACAAUAUUUCUUCAAAUUUUAGAAAAAAAACUCUAAAAUUUUUCCCUAAAGCUCUCAAAUUUCUCAUUAAAUUUCUCAAAACUCUCUUUAAUUAGUUAUUUACUUUAAUUUUUUUCUAAAUUAGUAUUAUUUUUUAUAAUUUCAAAAAUAUUUGAUCGUGUUAGCAAUGGCCGGGAAAUUAAUUCGUCUCCACCAUAAACAUAUCUCCGUCGAACAAAUAAAAAUUAAGGGUUAAUUUUAAUUUUUGAAUAUUAUUUAAUUUUUUCAUUUAUGUAAUUUUAAUUAAUUGUAAUUUUUGAAUAUUAUUUAAUACUUUUUAUUUAUGUAAUUUUAAUUAUUUUGUAUUUUAUAAUUUUUUAUAACAGUCUGUAGAUCGGGUGUUACAAUGUUAUAUUCGUAAUAUGUCCGGUCCAUCACCGUUGAUAGAAAAUUACUUGAGGGAAGCGGGAUUUUGGUAGGCGGCCACUAUAGGCCGGGGUACAAGUUGGACCCGAAACUUAUCAGUGCGUUAAUAGAGAGGUGGAGACCCAAGACGCACACAUUCCAUCUUCCAUGAAGAGAGUGUGCUAUCACUUUAGAGGACGUCCCAUUACAAUUAGGAUUGCCGGUGGAUGGGUCCGCACUCACCGGGUCCGUUCAAUCUAUUGAUUGGGGAGCCAUAUGCUAUGAUCUUUUAGGUGUAAUUCUGGAUAAUAUUUAUAGAGGUCGGAUCGAGAUGGGCUGGUUACGAGACACAUUCUCGGAGCUGGGGAAUGAGUCGACUGAAGUAGAAAGAAUACAAUAUGCUGGGGCAUACAUCCUUGAGAUAAUUGGAGGUUAUUUGAUGCCGGACUUGUCAUAAAACCUUGUACAUCUGAGGUGGCUGCUGAAACUCGUUAAUUUUAAAGCACCUGGCGAAUUAAGUUGGGGGUCUGCCGUGUUGGCAACAUUGUAUCAGAAGAUGUGCGGGGAGAUGCCACCAAAUAAAUUCAAAAUCAGAGAUUGUCUAUCACUACUACAAUCAUGGGCUCGGUUUUGCUUUCUAUUUUUACGUCAUCAAGUGAACCAUCCAUAAACAUUCACACUCAUAACGAGGUAAAAUUUUUAUUUGAUUUUACAAUUAUUCCAUAGUUUUACAAUAAAAUUGUAUGCUGAAAAUUUCUUUAAUCAGGUGGAACCAUCCGGCGAGUUAUGUUGGAAUACCUACCGCUCUUGAAGAUAUACGGCUUCUAUUAGACCAACGGUUGGAAGCGCAAGUAAGUAUUAAAUAAAAUAUAUAUAUAUAUAAAAUAGACCUUUCAUAUUUAGUAUUUAGUAUUAUGUAUAUAACUAAUAUUUUUAUCACUUUCAUAUAGUUUCAAUGGACACCAUAUGAGGAUCCGCCAAUACAGGCAGUAAUUCUAAAAGAAUUCUUUCAACUAUGCUACUAUCGAGAUGCACCAGAUGGAUAGAGUGUUACGGCAAUUUGGAUUCUGACAACCGAUUCUUGAGGAAUCUAAUGUGCUCGAUAAGCAGCACAAAAUUGACUUAUAGCAAACGAAUACGAAUUGGUCGGUAUUCUUCUUGGAAUAUAUCAAAAUUUAGGAAAAUCAGUAUGAUCAUAUACCUGAUCAUGAACCGUUCAUCUUCUCAGAGUUAGCGUGCGCGCCGAAGUAUAUGUCAUGGUUUAGGAUCCAUGGCAAGCCAUAUUUGCUGUCGGAAGAGCAAAUGUAUCGACAAAUUCGUGUCAAAAGGAAACGUCGGGGUUCUUUAAAUCCAAUGAGAAUGGAUGAAGGCACAGACCCAUCAAUAGCGCCCACACAAUCACCGGGCCCAACGCCUCAAAUGACGACACCCACAGCACAUCCCUUUCAGAUUAUACCAGGUGCGUAUCCUAGCCCUUAUAUGUAUAUUAACCCUUAUAUGUUUUCUUUUCUCAAUCCUAUGCUAGAUUGGAAUGCAUGACCUGGUGCAUCUCCUUUCCCGAUGACUCUGACUCAACCAAUGAUAUAUAGGCUAUCAUCGUUGAAGGGAUCAUACAAGGCACCGUUGGCGAGCUCAUCUCAUUACCAAUCCCCAUCUCAUUGUGGGAUUCAAAAGCCUCCACCGCGGGUGAUGUAAACACUUCUACAUUUUUUAUUCUACUAAGGUGGGUCAUCCUUCCGACACUCACUACCAAAACAACCACAACCCCUACCGAAAGCGCAACCAAUGAGGAAUCCAGCGCGUAAUUGUCGACCACCCCCAUGUGGCAUUGAUUUCGACUGGCAUAUACAUUGAUUUUUUUAAUAUAUUUGUACAAAUUGUUUCUAUAUUAUUUUAUUUAAUAAAAUAAAAGUUGUUAUUAAUAUUUUAAUAGUAAAUUAAUUUUAUAUUUUUAAUAAAAUAGAAGUUCUUUUGAAUAAGCCGGAAUAGAAAUAAUGCAAUAUAGUUUCAUUACAGGAAUUAUCAACUAUAUCAGUUUGGACAUGAUCGAAUUGUAUGACCUGGGUUCUUACACCAUCCACACAACUUUUGAUGGUUCGUUCUUUCCCGGAUAUCCAUAUUAUUACGUAUUCUACUCAAGUAAGGUUGACCUUUCGGUUUGCGAUGCAAUUCUCUAUCUGGUAACAACUUAAACGGAGCAAGCGAUACAGACGACCACUUACUUUCAUCUGGAACCGAUAGAAAUACGUGUCUCCACACAUUGUAUAUGCAUUCUAUUUUGUACACUCCGUCGGCAUAUCUCAUUGGAUAAAAAUGGAGAUUCUAACAAGCUGUAAUUGUAUGAACGCAUGGAUAACGAAGUGCAUCAAACGUCCCACAGUUGCAAGUCUUACUUAUCAGGUGUACACAAUAUUGCCCACCGAUAAUACAUUGGCUAGGUCUGUCAAACUCCGUCACACGAAACCAUAGGUUGUCACGAUCGUGACACACUAUGUGCAUGGUGUUGGUCUGCGCCUUUGCCUUGUUAAUUUCUUGCAAUACCUUCCGGAACCAUACAUGGCCUCCCUUCAUUUUCCCUUUACAACUUACUGCUCGCUUUGGAAAUAAUGCCGCCAAACAAAAAUAUGUCUCUCGUAAAACUAAGGUUAUCGGCAAAUAACGCGUUCUUUUUAAAACAAAAUUUAUGCAUUCAGCCAAGUUUAUGGUCAUAUGACCAUAUCGUAGGUUACCAUCGUUUGCUUGUGUCCACUGUUCGAAAAUUAUGUGACAGAGGUAAUCUGCGCCUUGAUCGUUAAAUGAAUGCAAAAUCCCCAACAUCUAAUGAAAACGGUUCUUAUUGAUCUCGUACCCUGCCAAUAUAAUUUGAUAGCGAAAAUUGCAUACCAAUAUUCCAUUCAAAAUAAAUUGAAUAUUACAAAUGAAAUUAUAUUAAUAGAGAUUAAAUACUCAUGUUGGUCACUUGCUUUCAUUCAAACGUAGACCUAUAUUGCCCAUAGUAGUUGGACGCAACAUGCCUUAGACAAUACCGAUGGUAUGUGCAAUCCCAUAGGCUUCCCUGCCACUCAAUUGCGGCUAAUAUUCCAAUACCCCGAUCUGAUAUAACGUAAAUAUCAGGCUAGGGGCAUACAUUGUAACACCCCCUAAUCCCGAACCGUCACCGGAACAGAGUUACGAGGCAUUACCGGACGUAUCAGACAACUUAUGAAUAAUUCACAAAUAAAAUAACAUUCAUAGCAUAAUUUAAUUACUAAAUCCUUAUAUUGAACUCUCAAAGUCUAAAACAUACAUUUAGGUGAAACGCGACUCGUUUAAGCACUCCAAAUUUCUUUAUUUUUUAUUUUUUUAAUAAAUUUCGACAACAUUUCUGCUUAUUUUUACAUAAAUUCCCCUGCAAUUAAAAUCAUAUCCAUUUCAAGCAUAACCAAUUCAACCAAUUUAUUUCACACAUUCAUUUUCUAUUCUAAAUACCUUCUAAUCAACUUAAUCAAUAUAAUAUCAAUUUAAAUUUAUCAUUGUACUAAUUAAAUUGAAAUGGAUAAACUUUUUCAUUAUAAUUCUUAGACUUGUAAUACUAACAUUUUAAACCAUUUAUAUUCAAAACAUAAUAACCUUUAUACACAUCCUAUGUACAUGCCACAUUACCAAAAGAAAAUAUACAUCACCAAAAGUUUGCUGAAGUCGGGUCUAGCUUUGGAUGCUGGUUCAGUAUUUGACUUCUACAACUUGCGCACGGAAACAACCGUACGCUGAGUAUGCAUAUACUCAGUGGUAUCACUAUAGUUCAGUUUAUAAUUAAAUACAUUAAAUCACACACAUACUUUUACAUUACAAUCAUCAUCACUUAAUGAACAAUUCAACCUUUUUAUUUUAUCAUUCGAUUAUAUAUAUACCAUUCUUAUUUCUUUAUUUCAAUUCUCAACUUUCACAUAUGCCAUAUCAUUCAAAUUUAGUUUUAUCAGUAGAUUUAUUUCAUUUGCCCCUAUUAACUUGACUCGGACUCGGCGGAUACACAGAUUCCAACCGACACACCAGUACGGCACAAUGUGCCUUAACGGUACACAGUACCUAUUCAGUAAUUAGUAAUAGUAGCAGUAGCAGUAACAGUAACAGUAUUCAACACACAAAUUGCUGAAUCUGUAACAGUAACGGUAACAGUAUUUGACACACAAAGUGUCAAAUCGGUAACAGUAACAGUAACAAUAGUCGGCACAUAAGUGUCUGAUCAGUAAGCCGGCAAAAACCCGUACUCUUCCAUAUCCUAUGGCAUGCCAACUAUAUCUGACUAGCCCGACUAGUUAAUAGGGUAUUUAAAUCAUUUUUCAGUACAAUUUCCAUUUCGAUUCAAUAUUAAUUAUAAUUUAUUAUUUUGAUCAAUUUUCACAGUAAUACAGUAAUUCACUUCAUUAGAAAUUUUACAGUUUAAUGCAAUAUACGUAACAUUAUUCAGUAAUUCCACAGUUCAAUUCGGUAUUCAAAACAAUAUUCAGUAUCCCACAAUUCAGUUCAGUAUCAAUCUCAAUUUUAAUACCCAAUCACAAAUUUUAUCAGUUCAUUAAAUACUUACCUUAAAAUACUUACCACACAUUCAUAUUAAAUUAAACACAUAUUAAUUAUAAAGCUUGAGUUAUAGUGAUACAAACCAGAAUUCUUUUCGGAUUUAAUCCUCGACGAUCUUUCUUUUUCCUUUUUGGGCCGAUGCUUCAGGCUCGAUAUUAGCUACGAACAAUUAAAAAAUUUCACAAUUAUUAGCAUAACACAAUUUAAAUGCUGAAAUUUUUAUCUAACUUUUACUUUAAUUGCAAUUUAAUCCCAACUAAACCUAUAUAUUUUUCUUUCUCAAUUCAUACCUUUUUGCUACUCAAUUUCUUGCCAAACUCAAAUUUAACUACUUAAUUUUUAUCAUAUUUUCAUAAUUUCAAAUUUAUUUCAAUUUAAUCCCUAAAACUCAAAACUUAUAGCUUAGUUUACAAUUCAAUCCUUUAUUCAAUUCUAACUUAAAAUUCAUUCAAUUAAAUCCCUAAUUCAUUAUUUUGCUCAAUAUGAACUAUGUUCAAGAACCUAAAAACUUUCAAAACCUUAACUUAACUUCAACAAAACUUUGUUCUAAAGCUUCUUAAACAUCAAAAUUAACUAAAAAUGACUUAAUUGACUUACCAAUCAAAGCUUCAAGCUUCAAAUCUCUAGUUUUUCCUUUUUCUUUUUCUUUUUGUUUUUCUUUUUCUUUCCCUUUUGCUUUCUCUUUUUCUCCCCUGUUUUCGAAUGCUUCUGUUUUUUAUUCUGUUUGUUUGGUUUCUAUUUAUUUUAUGCUUUAUCUCUUUUUACUUUAUUUAAUUUAUAUUAUAUUUAAUUAAUAAAUAUCUAUUUAAUAGCAAUUAUAUAUAUAACAAUUGUACACACACAUGUUUUACAUUUAUCCAAUAUCACCACCCUACAUUUGUCAUAAUUUUUUUUAAUUAUCACAUAAAAAUCUUUUUUUAUAAUUAUUUAAUUAAUAAAUAUCUCUUAAUUAUAAUAAUAAUAAAUAAUAAAUAUCUACUAAUUUAAAUAAAAUAUUAUAAUUGUAUAAAUAUUAUCAUUACAUAUGUAUAUUUUUAUCACCUUACACUUGUCAUAAUCAUACUUUAUUUAACAUAUAAAAAAAAUCUUAUGAUAUAAUUAUUUAAUUAUCAAUAAUUUAAUUUAAUCUAAUUAUCUAUUACUUUAAUAUUAAGUAAACAAAUUAUUUUAUAACAAGUACACAUGUAUCUAUUUAUUACAAAUAUACCAAUAUUUUUAUUACCGUACAAUUCUCUACUAUUUAAUUUAUUUAAUAAUAAUACUAAUAAUAAUAUAAAACUAUAACAAUUAAUAAUUAUAAUAAUCAAUUAUUCAAUAUUAUAUAAUAUAUAUAUAAUCUAAAUAAAAUCUUAGAUUUUUAAUACAUUUAUGCCGCCUCAACCAUUACUUAAUGGCAUAUUUGCUAUUUUGGCCCUUUUUUACUUUCUAUUGCUGUAGAAUUAAACUUUUACCUCUUAUUCAAUUUAAUCCUUUUUGCUAAUUACUCUAAAUUAAGUUAAAUUUACUUAAUCAAAACCUAAUUAGACACACCACUAGGCUCAUAAAUAUUUUUAAUAAUUAUUUUCGAACUUAUUCCACUAAGAUGGAGGCCCGAUAGCACACUUUUUCGGUGCCCACAGAUUUUGGGUCAUUACAUACAUGCCUCUUUAACCUAGAAAGAAAGAAAUUUCAAUCAUCAGCUGACUCACCGAUGUUAUUGCAAAUGAUAUUGGAAGGAUUCUCCCAGCAUCAUCUUGUGCCACAGUUAGCAAUAUUCAAUAGGUAUAUCUAUCAUACAUAAAAGUACCGUCAAUUUGUACUAACGGCUUGCUGUACACAAAUACGUCCUAACAUUGCUUAAAGCUCCAGAACAGACGCUUGAACACUUGACAUACACCGAGCAAAAAGUUGUUGUAGUACGCAGGGACCGUUUUAAGAUCUGUUAUGCAACCUGGGACGUACCUCUCCAGCACCUGACGCCACUGCCAAACCUCAUUAUAUGAAGCGUCUCACCCACUAUGCAUAUUUUCUAACGCCUUCUGCUUAGCUAUCCAAGUCUUACAGUAAGAGGGUGUGUGCCUUAAUUGGCUACGAAUACUGGAAAUUAUGCAUGAUAUAGAAGUUCUGGGAUUCGCCUUCAACAUCGGUAGUAUUCAGCUAGCUAUCAUACUUAAAUUCAUCUUAGGAUGAUCUUUUGAAACACCUGUCAAUGAAAUACAUUAAAUAAUGCAACAUUAAGUAAUAACAUUAUUAUUCAAAAACCCUAAACACCCGGUGAUACUGUACCGACAACACAUAUGUAAACCUUUGUACUUUUUUAUCUCCCACAAGCCUAUCUUUUUCCUAAAAGAAGCCAUGAUUUGCCAUGAACAUGUAUUGUCUUGCACUGCACACUUGGCUUCGAACUUCUCGUAUUUGGAUUUAACCACGUUGUAGUUAACCCCGUGAUUGAUGCUAUGUUAUUUCAAAGUACCAAGAAAGUUAUUCUUACUGGAAAACUCCUUACUAACUUCCAAUUCACCCGAGUCCAAUGAAGAACCUAUACGGUUACACGUUCUUUGUGGUAGAUUUGGAAACUCCAACGCAUCAUCUGUCGAUAUAUCGACAUUAUGCAUGUGGACUGGAGUCAAGUACGUCCUGAAUAACAGACCUUUUUCUUCUUCAUCUGAACCCCCUUCAACGUCUUCAGGUUCAGAUGGAACAGGCUCCGAUUCAGAAAAUAAUGCAACUUCAGCACCAUCGGAGCCAGGUUCUCGAGGUGGAUCUACAUCGGACUCACUAUCCAACCCAUCAUCAUCUGCAACUUACGAAGUCCCCUCAUCGGUGGAUGUCGUAGGAAGUACAUCAUCCUUUCUUGUGGACGUUUCGCAACGUCCCCAAUCAGAUAUGGAUUGCCAACCACAAGAAGUUGAUGUCAUUCCCCAAUACGUAUUUCCAGCAUCAAACAUCGACCCGCCGAUGUGCAUGCCCCAUCCACUAACUAAGUGUUGUACAAGAGUUGUGUUUUCCAUACUGCCACCAAACACGGGAGCUUCCGUGUUCUGCCUCCCACUAACGGAGUGUCGGGUAAGGGUCGUGUAUUCCUCUCGAAUAGCAGUUGAUGUUGAAGUCGCAAAUGUUUUGUUUGGCGAUGAAAAUUGUACAUAUAACUCAAGAUAGGGUGACCCACUAGUGAGAUGAAAGCUACGACCACCUUUGAUAUUAAAUGAGUCAUAUGUCACGGGAUCAAUCGAAGCACAAAAUUGAUACUUAAUAGAAGAAACCCUAUUUGGCGUCGUUUCAAAGAUUUUGUACCUAAUUCUUUUACGAAAUUCUAUAAAAUCUAUACUCUGGUUAAAAACCAUUCACAUUGUGUUAUCUGAUAAAAACAACGCCGUUCUCGGUGUCACGGAACUCACCAUCAUAGUAAAUAACAGCACUAAUACGUUCAUUCAUCUUCAAUUUCUAUUCUGCUUAGCCUCUCUAUUUUUUUUUCUUGUUGUAACUUAUGCAACCUGAGAAUGAAAUUUGUCUCAUUUAUACUCUAAGGCUAAACAUGAACUACUGUAGAAAAAAAGCGUCCACGUGUGAGCUUUUUUUUUCAAAAAUUUUACUGACAUUGCAUCCUGAUUGAAGCGUUUUUGACACUAUUUGUUCAGAAACGUCUUCUCAAAAUUAUUUUUUCAAGAACUACUGUAGAAAAAGAACAUUCACGUGGGAUCUAUUUUUAAUAAUUUUGUUGACAGUACAUCCUACUUGAAGCGUUUUUGACACUAUUUGUUCAGAUCUUCUUAAAAUUAUUUUUGCAGGGUAAAAAUAGUCAAUUUUGUUAAAAAAAUAAUAUUAUUUUUAAAAAACUAAACCCUAAUUUAAUUAAUUUUAACCCUAAACCCUAAACUUUAAUUUAAUUUAAUUUAUUUAAAACUCUUAAACCCUAAUUUACUUAAUUUAUUUAAAAACCAUAAACCUUAAUUUAAUUAAUUUUUAUAAAAUAACACUAAAUCUUGAUUUAUUUUUAAAAUCCACUAAAAACCCUAAACCUUAAAUUAUUUUAACAGCAACUUAAACUUGUAACCUAAAUUAUUAUCAGCAAAACCCUAACCCUAGAAACCUAAAAAAACCUAGGAUUAAAUAUGCAAAAAUCCCUAACCUAGAAAAAAACACGAAGCAAAACGCGCCCCUAGGGGAGCGUUUUUGCCACGUCAGCAAAGCGCGUCCGCUUCAGCGCGUUUUAUGCUAACAUGGCAAAAACGCUCCCCUAGGGGCGCGAUUUGUUGGUAUUUUCCCCCUAAAACACUCCUACGUAGACGCAUUUCACCAAAACCGGCCCUUUCCAGUAAAUAAUGUAGAAAUCACCCAUUUCCAUCUUAGAAAUGGGCCUUUUUAAGUAAAUUAGCCAUAUAUAUAUAUAUCAUUUAAAUGAAAUAAAAGAUAGUCUUAAAUUGGGUUUCAACAAUUAAAAUGAUUAUCCGACAAUGACUAUGCAAACCUAAGUUUAAUUGAGGCUAAUAAUAAAUGUUGAUAAAAUGUUGUUCCUAUAUAGAGUUAUAAAUUACAUCAGUGAGAUAAAAUUCGAGGUACACGACUAGUGUAAUCAUGAUACUGUAUUAUAUUAAAAAAAUUCCUGCAUGUAAGUGUUUGAAUUGAAUUUAGUAAAAUUAAAUAAAAAAAAUUUUACUUAACGAGUUUUAUUUUAUUUGAAUUUAUAUUUGAAUUUUUUUCAACUUGAGUCUAGUGAAAUGAAAUUCAAGUCAAGUUGGAUUACGUGAAAUUGUUCUAAUUAAAUUUAAAAAUUAAACAUGUUAAAUUAAAAUCUUGUUAUAUUAUAAUUAAUUCCAUGUUCGAGCACAUAAAUUUGUAACCAUAUAUAUUUAAAAAAAAUUUAAAACAAAAUAAAAAUUAUUAUUUUAGAAAAUUUUUAAAAAUUUAAUUUUUUUAUAUAGAUUCUUUAGAAUUUUUUAUAAUUUUUUUAAAAUAUAAAUUUUAGAAUUUUUAUAGAUAUUUUGAAUUUUUUGUAAUUUUUGUUGAGAGAGAUUAAUUUAUUCAUUUUUAAAAUUAACAGGAGACAAAAGAGUAUUUAUAACAAUAUAUUAUUCGAAUUGUUGGAGGUGUAAGAAUAGUAAAAUAUUUCUUGCUAGAUAGAGAUACCUUAUAAUACGAUAUGAAGACAAGUAAUAGUUCUUUUUUAUCAUAGAUAAUACCCACCCUUCAUGAUUUUUCAUCGAAGGUCUUAGACCACAAAAUGCAAAAAUUUGUAAGAAAAUUUUAUUUAUUUAAUAUUUCAUGCCUAGAUUAAUUUAAUAAGAUAAUUAAUUAUGAUUUUUAAUUAAUUUAUUUUAAUUUUAUCUUACUAAAGUCGGUAAAAGAGAUCUAAACUUAGAUCUUGGUUCUAGUUUUUUUUUUUUAUUACCUUGAACAAAGUUUGGAUUUGAUAAAGAGAUUUCAUGUAUUAGACAAAACCUCUCCUAAGACCUAACUUAGAAAUUUGAAAUUACAAAGUUGAGAGAAAGGAAUAAGAGAGAAAAACUGUUAAAAUUGUGUGACUCAAAUUCCUAUUAAAAUAAAAUACAAGUAGCAAGAUAGGGGAAUCUACGAGGGCGAAGGCCACACCUAUUGCAGAUCCCCAAUAAGCAAAAUACUGGACUAGGGUAGCAACAGGGAAUGGCCCUCGCAAUAUGAUACAGGCUGCACAAGUGGAAUCCGUAUAGAAGUACACUUCUUCUAUUGAUAUUGUUUCAAAUAAGGUAUUUUGACCUUACUACAUUGCUUCUAUUAGCCUUUGUUUAGAAUAAGGUUUUUAAACCUAUAAAUAGACGUAGUCGUCUCUCCUCUUAUAUCAUUCGAAUUCGACAUAAUAAAUUUUCUUCUCCUCUGCCCAUGGUUUUUUUCUUAAAAAGGUUUCCACGUAAAAUUUUGUGUGUUCUAUUUUCUCUUUUUCUUUGUGAUUAAUUGUCAUUAUCAACAUUCAAUUUUUCACAAAAAGAAUGAGAGGAAAAAUCGAAGAGGAAGAAAUCUUGUGUAUUGUAUCGUAUAGCUUCCUUCUCCUUACAACAAAACAAUAUAAAGGAAAAUAAAACAAACAAAUUAACAGUCAACCCAAUAACCAAUUGACCGUUACUGCCCAAGGUUAAAACGUGUCGUUUCAUUAAAAACCAAACCACUCCUUUUUACUUACAACUGAUACACACCAUUUUAUUUACUUCUUCUUUUCAUCCCAUAACAACUACUACUCCCCUAAAAAAUCCUUGUCAUCAAGGAUCAAAUUGAGGGAACUUGCUCUUAAUUCGCUCUAAGGGCUCCCAAGUGGCAUCUUUAGGAAACAAAUUUGCCUACUCCACCAAAACUUCAGUGAUUGCACUAUUUUUUUUUAACCAUUCUUCGAUCUAGCACAUGAGUUAGGUCUUUGGUCCAAACACCAUUAGCAUCAAUCACAGGUAAAGUUGUCUGGACUAGAGCUGAUCCCACAUGUUUCUUAAGUUGAGAAACAUGAAAUGUGGGGUGCACUCGGGAUUCAAAGGGCAUUUGCAACCAAUAGGCUACCUUCCCUACUUGGGCUUCUACUAGAAAUGACCCAAAAUAUAUGGGAGACAGCUUAUGAUUUAACAGCUUCCUAAUCAAAUGUUGCUUAUAUCGUUGUAGUCUCAAGUAAACCAAAUCACUUUCUUUAAAAUCCCUCACUCCUAUGUUUGUCUACCGGCUACUUCAUUCGUCCCUAAGCUUGUUUCAAAUGAAAUUAUAACAUUUUCCUAGCAGCUUGUCUCUAUUGCAGACUUUUAUCAACACUGAACGCUAGAGAGGCAUUUGUUAAGUAAGGAAUGUAAUGGGGAGGAGGUUGGUCAUAUAAUGCCCUAUAAGGUGUGGUGAUAAUGGAAGAAUGGUGAGUGGCAUUAUUCCACCAUUUUGUCAUAGGAAGACAUUGCAACCACUCACUAAGGCGUUCACCUAUCAUACAUCUGAAGCGCCCCUCAAGGCACUUAUUCAAUAACUCAGUCUAGCCAUCAGACUCAGGAUGAUAAGAAGUAGAAAAAUGCACCUUUGUACCAACUUGUUGGAAAAAUUUGCUAGAAAUGACUCACAAACACUUUUUCCUUGUUAAAAAUUAUUAAAUCAGUCAGUCCAUGUAACUUAAAUAUGUGAACCAUGUAUUUUUGAGUCACAGUUGAAACUGUAUAAGGAUGGGAAAAGGUCAAAAAAUGUCCCACUGACCUGCCGUCAAAUAUAGUUGUCAAUUCGGGUUAGCUCCACACUUAAAGAACUUAUUUUCUAGGCAAUUUUAGGAUUUUAAUUUACAUUUUCAAUAAUUAAUCCUUAAGAUAUAAAGGUAAUAAAAAUACGUGUUUUAAACACAUUUUGUAGGUGUUGUGACCUAAUAGGUAGGGGUGUGCAAAUUUCGGGUAAAAUCGAAUUAAUUCGAUUAACCGACAGAAUUCGAUUAAUCGGUUAGUUAACAGAAUUAAUUCGGUCGGAGGUUGAUUAAAUAAUUUUUUAGAAGUCCGGUUAAUAGUUAAUUUAGUUCGAAAUCGGUCAGUUAAUCGAAUUAACUGAAUUUAAUAAAUAAUGUUAUAAUAUAUAAGUAUUCAGUCAGUUCGGUUAAUUCUUUUAGAAAUAUAAAUUAAUCGUUCAGUUAAUUUUUUAUAUGUUUUAUACUUGUUUUAACAAAAAAAAACAUAUAAAUUUCGGUUAAUUCGGUUAACUGACCGAAUUAAACGAAAAUGUUUGGUUCGGUUAAUUUUUUUUGAAAAAAUUUCGGUUCGGUUAAAGGUUAAGGGUUUAAAAGGGUCAGUUAAUUCAAUUAAUGGUAGUUCGGGUCGGUUAACCGGUCGAUUAACCGAUUAAACACCCCUACUAAUAGGUCGACACGGGCCUAAGGUUAUUCUAAUUGGUUUAAUUGAGUGUGUUGGAUGAAGAUAUAAAGGCCCAAUUAACAUGGAAGCAAAGGUCGAGUAAUGUAGAAGCUUCCUAAGACAUCCAUGCACAGAACGAACGACACAAGGCAAUAAUUCGAACUCAUGUCACGCUACGCAAGUAGUGUAGCAUGACAUAAUGCCGACGUGCUGCCCAAGUAUUUUAGGGAUAUUUUCAUUCGUGCAAUCAAACUUAUUCGAAGACCUAGGACAUGCCGAAUACACAAUUUGGGCUGCCAACACUUCUAUAAAUAAGACAUUAGGGGUUGAAUGUAAUUAAGUCAUCCUAGACGCCUUCAAAAACCCUCGUAGUUUAGAAUUAGUUUUAGUUUAUUUUUUUCGGAUUUUCAUAACUUUCUUCUUAUUCUUCUUCAUAACUUUCUUGUUAUUCUUCUUGAAUUAGUUUUGAUUCAAGAACUUGUUUAUUUAAUUAAAGUAUCUAGUUUAUAUUUUCCUUUGUAUUUGUUUUACUUCUUUAUUCCAAUCAAGAGAUUUACUAUUCUGUUCCCCAUUCGACACCGAAUCCACAAUUAUUCAAAUCUUUUUUCUUCUCCUAAUUGAUCGUGUUUCUCACAUGGUUUAUUCAAUUGAAGUUGAGAUUAUGACUAACAUGAGUGGAUAAAUCCUUUAGGGGAGAUUAAUGAGUGGAUGAGGAUGUGAUUAAUAGAGGAUUAGGGAUUUCUUGAAAAGGAUUAGUUGGUAUAAAUUAUGUAUUAUUAAAUUGUUAGGCUUGACAACCCUAAUAAGUUAUCAUUGGCUAGACGAGGUCGGAAGAUAAGUCGAACUGAGUAAAUCGUAAAUUAUCCUUCUUGAGAAAGUGAGGUCGAGAGGUAAGCGAGUAUCAACCAAUCGAUUAGUUAAUUAAAGGUUGAGAGGUAAUAAUUAGUUGAUCGAUUAUUAAUCCAUCUCAAAACCCUAAUCUAAAAUAAUCUAAAGUAAUGAUUAUUGAUUUAGUUCAUUUGUUUAUUUCUCAUUAUUUAUUUCUUUUUUGUUUUUUAUUUAUUUUUAUUUCUCGUAAUCUAUUUUAUGGUUAAUCAUAAUAUAGAAAAAUAAUUACUACCACCUAGGCUUGUUAUUGUAAAAGUAUUUUCACUAUUUAUUCGAUCCUCCUAUGGGUACGAUCCUCGGAAUACUUCUGGUAUUUUGUUGUACAACUAUAUUACAAUUUGACUCGUGUACUCACAGACACCGCCAUUCUUAAUUCUUAUAUUUUUUGUGUUAAAUUUAUUUUAUAAACAAGAGCACAGACACCCACCUUGGUAAGUCGAUCCACCACCACCAAUAUCAUAGAUUUGCCAUUAGACUGUGGGAGGCCUUUAACAAAAUUCAUGCUAACAGAAGACCAUGCUCUAUUUGGUAUUUGGUAUAGGCAAUAGUUGUAAUAAACCAAGUUUUUCCACUGUUUCAUUCUUACAUUGUUGACAUAUAAGACACUCUCUAAUACAAGUCUUUAUGUCUUUAGUCGUCCUUUUUUAAAAUAAGAGAGAAGUCAUUUUGUUCCUUGAAGCAUGAACACGUGACUGUCCUCCUAUGACAUCGGCAUGAAAAUGCUCGAAUAGUUCCCUUCUAGGCUCUACAUCUCUGCCUACCACAAUUUUGGCUUUCCUCCACAAAAAUCUUCCAUCCCAUACAUACUUAUAGUGUCGAGAAGCCUACUAUUGGACUUCUUCACACGAUUUCUAAAGCUUGGCAUCAGAAGAAUAGAGUACUUGAAUCCUGCUCAACAAAUCAAACACCACUAUAGAACCAGUCAUUUUCCAUACCUGACCAACUAGAAGGGGCUUGUUCCUUGAGAGAGAAUCAGUUGUUGCAUUGUUUGAGGCCUUUUUGUAGACAACUUCAUAAUUGUAUCCCAACAUUUUGGCCACCCAUUCUUGAUGAAAUGGAGUAAUGGCUUAUUGGUCUGGUGAGAACCUCAAACUUUUAUGGUCUAUUCUAAUCUUAAAAAGCCUCCUAACCAAAUAAGCAUACCAUUUCCUUACUGUUAACAACACUGCAAUCAUAUCUUUUUCAUAAAUUGACAAUGUUUAAUGUCUAACACCAAGACCUUUGCUAAAAAAAGCCACUAACUUCCCUUUUUUGUUGAAGCACAACCCCUACACCAAAACUUGAUGCAUUUUUAUCUGCACAAAAUUCCAACUGAAAAUCAGGAAUGGUGAGUAUAGGUGCUGAAUAAAGGUGUAACAGCCUGCUGGUUUUAGCUAAAUCGAAAUAGGGGUUUCGGAACCACAAAUUCGAGGUCGUAAAAUUAUUUUAAUAUUAUUUUUGGUGUUUAAAUCAUGUGAUUAUAUAUGUGUGAAAGUUUUGUGAGCUAAUUUUAUCAUUUAAUAGCUUAAUUUGAGAAAAAAGGACUUAAUCGUGUAAAAUGCAAAAGUUGAAUUCUAUUUGUUUAAAGUGCUUAAUUGCUAUGAGUUAUUAAUUUGGAAGACCUUAUGAUGUUAUUUUCCCUUUGGCUAAUGGGAUGGACGAAUAUGGUCAUAAAUUGGAUGAAUUAUAAUGUUAAUUAAAGGUUAUUAUAGUAAUUUGUAUAUUAAUGGUUAAUUAAAUAAAACAAAUGAUAAAAAUUAGUGGAUUUUGUCAUAUUUCUCAUCGAAAUUCAAAGGAAGAAGAAUCCAUUGUUGAUUUUAAGGGUUCAUCAAUUGCAUGAACAAAUUGGUAUGUGAUUUUUGUUCGGUUUUUGAUAAUUUUUAUGUUUUUGUGAUCGUUGCUCUGAGUACUAGCUAGUCUAGGGACUAAUUUGCAAAAAUUAUUAAUGUUUUGAAAGUUUCCAUUUAUGAAUUCAUGUGUUUUUGAAUGAUUGGUGAUGAAUUAUGAAAGCUUAGUGAUAGAUAUCUAUGUUUUGUAAAGUGAUUUUAAGCAAAAAUGCAUAUUAGGGAUUAAAUGGUGAAAUUUGUAAAUUGAAGGGUUGAAAUGUGAAAUAAAAGAAAAAUAUGGGCUGCUAGGGACCUAUAUGAAAUUCGGAUAGGCUUGGGUUUAAUGAAAUUUAAUGAAUUUUGUGUUUAGUGAAAUAAGGACUAAAUUGUAAAAAAUGUAAAAGUUUAGGGCCAAAGUGUAAAUUGGCUUAAAUAUGUAUUUGUGGAUUAAAUUGAAUGAAUCAAUGAAUAAAUAAGUUAAUUUUUAAUGUAUAUAGAUCAAGAAUGAAAGAAAUCAGAUUUAGAUCGGGGGAAAUCGAAAGUUGUCGAAUAGUCGAUCAAGUCAGUUUAUCCCUAAUACGAGGUAAGUUCGUAUGCAAAUAAAUGUCUUUAAAAUUGAAUUAUACAUGUUUAAUUUUCAUUGAAUUGCUAUGAAUUUUGAAUGAGCAAAUACGAGCAAGAAUUGACAGAGUUACAACAUUCGAAAAUCUCGUACGAACCUUAGGAAUAGUAUAGGAUGUAAAUGUCAUGACAUUAGAUUACCGAGAUGUGAUUACAUGUAAGACCAUGACUGGGACAUUGGCAUUGUAUUGUGAUUACAUGUAAAACCAUGUCUGGGACAUUGGCAUUGUAUUGUGAUUACGUGUAAGACUAUGUUUGGGAUAUUGGCAUCGUUAUUCAAUUUCGUGUAAGACCCUGUCUGGGACAGUGGCAUCGAUAUGUGAUAACAUGUAAGACCAUAUCUAGGAUAUGGCAUUGUACAAGCCUUAUGUGAUUUCUGAGUAUCCUUAACGAUUCCGAAUGGUUCAAUGGGCAAAGUCAAGUCGGGAAAGAAUGUGUGAAUGAGUUAAAUAACUCAGGUACAUAUGAGAUUCAUACAAGUAUUGAAGAGGAAGUAUUUGAUGAAUUCAAUUAUGAUAUUGAAUGUGUACAAUGAAAAAGGUUUGUGAUCUUAUAAAUGUUUAUUCACGGUUUCCUAUUUAUGGAAAUGAUAUUGAUUCAUA
rnacentral:lncRNA from 1 species